AGCAGCAGCAGCAGCAAGCAACAAUAUUACCACAGACCAACAAGCUCUUCUUGCCCUGAAAGAUCAUAUAACUUAUGAUCGAACCAACCUUUUUGCCCAUAAUUGGACCUCGAAUACCUCUGUUUGUACCUGGAUUGGCAUCGCUUGUGAUGUCAAUAGCCAUAGAGUCACAGCCUUGGAUAUUUCUCAAUUCAAUCUACAAGGCACCAUCCCUCCUCAACUUGGAAACCUCUCUUCACUCACAACGCUUAAUCUUAGUCAUAACAAGCUUUCUGGAAGCGUUCCCUCCUCCAUCUACACCAUGCAUACGCUAAAAUUUCUUGACUUCACUGAUAACCAGCUCUCUGGUUCAGUGUCUUCCUUCGUCUUCAACAUGUCUUCAAUAUUAGACAUUCGUUUGACCAAUAACAGACUUUCUGGUGAGCUUCCGAAAAAUAUUUGCAACUAUCUUCCUCAUUUGAAAGCCCUUUUUUUGGACAAAAACAUGUUUCAUAGCAAAAUUCCUUCUGCUUUAUCAAAGUGCAAACAACUGCAACAAUUAAAUUUGCAGUUCAAUAAUUUAUCCGGUGCAAUACCAAAAGAAAUCGGCAACUUGACUAGGCUCAAAGGGAUAUAUCUCGGCGCCAACAAACUCCACGGUAUGUUCAUAAUACUAUGUAAAUAUUUUAAUUUCUCACUUGUUAUCUUUCUUGACUACUUUAGACAAGAUCUUUUAACUGAGAUUUUUUGCAUCUAUGUUAAUUUACCAGGUGAGAUACCCCACGAAAUCGCUAAUCUUCGAAAUCUAGAGGUUUUAGUGCUUGGAAUGAACAACCUAGUUGGUGUGUUACCAGCUCCAAUCUUCAACAUGUCAACACUGAAGGUGAUUAUCCUCAUGAAUAACUCUCUCUCCGGAAGUCUUCCAUCAAGAAUAGACCUUUCACUUCCAACUGUUGAGUUUCUUGAGUUGUCACAUAAUAGAUUUUCUGGAACCAUUCCUAGUUCCAUCACCAAUGCUUCUAAGCUCACCGUUCUAGCGUUGGGAGAUAACAAAUUUUCGGGCUUCAUUCCAAACACAAUUGGUAAUUUAAGAAACCUUGAGAGGCUCAGCUUGCCUAAUAAUUACUUGAAAUCUUCAACCUCAAAAUUGAGCUUUCUUUCCUCUUUGGCAAAUUGCAAGAAAUUAAGAGACAUAGUCUUAAUAGGCAAUCCACUUGACGGCUUCCUUCCAAGUUCAAUAGGAAAUCUUUCUAAGUCUUUGGAAACACUUGUCAUCGCCAAUUGCAGUAUUAGUGGCAACAUUCCUCAAGCAAUUAGCAAUUUAAGCAACUUGUUGACCUUAGUAUUAGAAGGAAAUAAAUUAACUGGACCAAUUCCAAUUACAUUUGGCCGACUGCAGAAACUCCAAGGCUUAUAUCUUGCAUUCAAUAAGUUGGUAGGUUCAUUCCCAGAUGAGCUUUGCCAUCUAGCAAGGCUGGAUCAAUUGGUCUUAUUUGGCAAUAAGCUUUCAGGAUCUAUACCUUCAUGCCUAAGUAAUCUCACUUCUCUAAGAUCUCUCUACUUAGGGUCCAAUAGGUUUACUUCUGUUAUUCCCUCAACUUUCUAGAGCCUAAAAUACAUCUUGUUCUUUGACUUUUCAUCAAAUUUCUUGGUUGGUACUCUUUCUUUCGACGUAGGUAAUUUGAAGGUGCUUCAAGGAAUAAAUUUAUCAGAAAAUAACUUAUCGGGUGAUAUGCCAGCCACAAUUGGAGGACUGAAAGAUCUUCAAUUUAUGGACCUAGCAUAUAAUAGAUUGGAAGGCCCAAUUCCUGAAUCAUUUGGUGACUUGACAAGUUUGGAGGUUUUGAAUUUAUCAAAAAAUAAAAUCUCUGGGUCUAUUCCAACAUCCAUGGAGAAACUCAUUUACCUUCUAGAGUUAAAUCUCUCUUUCAAUAAACUUGAAGGUGAGAUUCCUAGUGGAGGAAUUUUUACCAACUUCACAGCUGAGUCAUUUAUGGGAAAUGAGUUAUUGUGUGGUUUACCAAAUCUUCAAGUCCAACCAUGCAAACUUAGCAAGCCUAGGACAGAACAUAAAUCAAGGAAAAAGAUACUUCUCAUUGUGAUUGUUUUGCCAUUGAGUAUUGUUUAGGAGAAAUACGUCGACGAGACCAGGCAUGGUGAGCGGAUAUCUGAUGGCAGAGUUCUGCGAACCGGUAUGUCCCGUAAAAGCCUGGUGCGCGGGGGAACAGGAACAGAAAUAUCCUGCUCACCCACGAGCACGUCAUCCACGAGGCCAAUUUCCUGUAAGAGGCAUAAGGCCAUUCCGGCUAGAGGUCGAGAGGCGAGGAGACCCGGUCGACGGCAGUCGGCAAGACGGGCUCCCCAGCCCGAGAAUCUAGGUACGACAGCCACGCUUUUCCCAGAACCGUGGCGUAACACGCAAGAUCUCACAGAACCACGACAGCCACGCUUUCCCCAGAACCGUGGCGUAACACGCAAGAUUCCGCGUUUGCCCAUAACGCAGCAGUCAGAGUCCCAUACUGUCUGGGAAAAAGCAAAAGACUGGGAUUCAGGGGAAGCCUAUAAAAAGGUAGCCAACGAAGGUAAAAGAGUUAGCAUUUUUGAGAUUAAAAAAGAAAUUCAAAAGAAGAGAAAACCACGAAAAAGCCAUAAGAUCUGUGGCGAGCGUUCUCGGAACCUUCAUAUCUGACUUGAGCGUUGGAGGGUUUGCGCCGGGAAAACAACCGGCGUACUCUGACUUGUCUGUGUGCGCAGGAACCUCUGGAGAAGAAGCCUCACGAGAAGACCUUCUGGUCGUGAAGAAGUUGAUCGGGCAGAAAUCCUGGUCGUAGAACGAGGAGAACUGGAAUCCCGCAUCAACAAUUCCAACCCCAGUGGUUCGAGUGACAGUUGAUAACACAAACGUUGGUGACAGAAUCUGGUCGGUCCAAGGGCGAGCAGAUUUCCGCAUCAACAUUUUGGCGCCGUCUGUGGGAAACAGAACAAAAAGCUUCUGUUGAUAGCAAGGAGAGGGGUGAAGCAAGUGAAAAGCGAUGGAGACAGGAGGAAGUAGUGCACAAGGGGGUGAUAGGAGGCUUAACGAUUCCGUGACGCUGAGGGAGAUAGUCAGUGAGGCACGGGAAAAAGUCAUGUUCGACCGGAUGGAACGGAUGGAAAAGCAGAUGGAAACCUUGACAACCAUCCUGCAUGAGCUGCGGAGCGAGCGAGGGGUAACCCAAGAGGGAAGGGUGAGAGGCGGUGGAGUGGCACCAGGUCUUGAUAGUGCGGGGAGAAGUCAAACCACUGGGAGAUUCGGUGGUGAGAGGGGUAACGUACCUCUGCGGGGAGAAUUUCAUAGAGAACAAGAGCAGUCCCCGGCAAGACAGACUAGUGACGAGGACGACGGGGUGGUGAAUGCAGAGGAAACAGAGUUGAGGCAACACGUGCAUGAUGUAGAGCAAGAGCGGGAUCAAGUUGCAUCACGUGACCCUGGUCGUGCAGUGCAGCUGGAGGAGGAAGUGCGCAGACUAGCGCAGAUAAUUGACGACAUGCAAGGAAGGAACAGAGCCCUUGGUUGGAGGAUAAUGCUGGACGGAAAUCGCCGCUCGCAGCAGAGAUCAUGAGGGCAGUUAUUCCGAGAGAUUUCCGCCUCCCAGACCUCAGAUACUCGGGAAGAACUGAUCCGCUGGUGCACAUAGAGCGCUUCAACGACAUAACCGGGGUACAAGGAUUAUCUUGAUCCCAAAGGUGCAGGGUGUUCUCACUCUCCCUUGAGGGACGUGCACGAGAAUGGUACAGGAAACUUCCUCGGGGCAGUAUUAAAACCUUCGAGCAGAUGUGCCAGGAAUUCGCGGAGCAGUUUAGUGGGGCAAUGGCACCGGGGGAUGACAUGAUGGAGCUGAAAAGCAUGAAACAGGGGGAGCAAGAAACCCUUCGGGAAUUCAUCAAGAGGUUUCAUCGGGCUGUCCUCGACUUGGGGGCCUUCAACCACCCUCAGGCGUUAAGGGGAUUGAAGGAAGGGGUGAAGAUAGGAAGGCUGUGGUACAAUCUGAGAAGCCCAGCGAUUCAAACGUAUGCAGCCGCAUACGAACAGGCUAAGAGAGACAUCGAGAUUGAAGAGGAGAAGGCUGCACAGAUUAAGACAGACCAGUUAGAAGGGUUGGGGAGGAAAGAGAAGAAAGCCUUACCGGGGAAUGGGCCGAUCAGGAGGAGGGACCACCAGGCCUCCGGUGGUGGAGCAGGAGGUCGGGUGACUGCUUACCAGCCUCAUCAGAGGCCACCACAGUAUCAGCGCAGCAGGGCACAACCUCCUCGUUCCCCAGCUAGGGAGCCUUGGAAAAGGCAUGAGUCGGCAUCUGGUGGUCUUCCCCACGAUAGCAGAGCGAGUAGACCAGAAGUACUUCCACCGCCCCCAACUCAGAGCGGGGCAAACAAAGAAAGAGCAGUGCACCUGAUCGACCAGAACCCGGACUAUGGAUGGUACACUUCCUUGAAGAUGUCCCUGGAUGAGGUGUACAAGGCCAUAAAGGAUCGAGGGCUGCUGCACCCCCCUACACCAAUAACGAAGCUACCCAACAGGAGGGAUAGAGGACGUUAUUGUAAGUUCCAUGGCACUCAUGGCCACACCACAGCAGAGUGUAGAGAUCUCAAGACCCAGGUCGAAGAUUUGGUGAGAAAUCGGUACCUGGACGAGUUUAUAGAUGGGACCUUCCCGAUGGAGGCCACAACAGGUGAAGGGGAGCAGAGUGGUAGAAACUUGAGGCGCGAGCAGCCCGCAGUAAGGAUGAUAGCUGGGGGCCCAACAUUGGCCGGAGAUUCCAACAGAUCGAGAAAAAAUUAUGCUAGGUACGCCAUGACCAGUAAAGAGGUACUCUUCAGCACCCCAGCAGCCAAACGAGCAAGAGUCAGGCAAGUGCCGAUCAUGUGGACGGAUGAGGAUGAGGAAGGGAUUCUAUACCCCCACGAGGAUGCUUUAGUCAUCAAGGCUACUGUCGCUAGCAAGAAGUUUGAUCGGAUACUGAUUGAUACGGGGAGCUCAGUUGAUGUGUUAUUUAGGUCAACCCUGGAAGAGAUGGGAAUAGCCGACCGGAAGUUGGAAUACACCAAUACCUCCUUGAAGGGAUUCGGAGGAGGGAAGCUGGUCCCUCUGGGCGUGGUCGAGCUGCCUAUCACAAUUGGGAGCUCCCCGACCGAAAGAACAAUGAUACUGGACUUUGUCGUAGUGGAUGAAGAAAGUCCUUACCAGAUGAUUCUAGGUCGGCCGUUUUUAAGGAUGAGCAAAGCGGUGUUGUCCAACCAUUAUCUGGCUCUGAAGUACCGGGUGAACGGGGUAGUAGGAGUGGUACGAAGAGACCAGAGGAUCGCAAGAAGCUGCUACUCCUCGGCAGUAAGGGAAGCACUGCAGAUAACAUCCCUCGAUACCCGAGUGGAAAACAAGAAGGGCAGACAAGAACCUGUAGAGGAUCUGGAAACAGUAAGCCUGGGACCAGAGAACCCGGGAAAGACGAUCAGAAUCGGGUCGAGACUUAAGGGAGAGCAAAAGCAGGAGUUGGUGAAAUGCUUACAGGCUCAUGCUGACGUAUUUGCUUGGACACAUGAAGACAUGCCCGGGAUUGACCCUGAGGUAGCAUGUCAUAAGCUGGCAAUAAAGAAAGGUGCCCGGGCAGUAAGGCAGAAGAGGAGGUGCUUCAACCAGGAGAGGUAUGAGGCUAUAAAUGGCGAGGUGGAGAAGCUCUUGAGAGCAGGGUUCAUUCGGGAAGUCAGUUAUCCUGAGUGGAUAUCAAAUGUGGUGUUGGUAAAGAAGGCAAACGGCAAGUGGAGGAUGUGUGUGGAUUUCACAGACCUCAAUAAGGCGUGCCCAAAAGACAGCUUCCCUUUACCAAAGAUCGAUCAGCUAGUAGAUUCAACGACUGGACAUGGUCUGCUUAGCUUCAUGGACGCGUUCUCGGGAUACAACCAGAUCCCCAUGUACGAGCAGGAUGAGGAGAGCACGGCCUUCAUCACUAACCAAGGUUUGUUCUGUUACAGGGUAAUGCCAUUCGGUCUCAAAAAUGCUGGGGCCACCUAUCAAAGGCUGGUGAACAAAGUCUUUAAGCCGUUGAUUGGGAAAACCAUGGAGGUGUACGUGGAUGACAUGAUCACCAAAUCCAAAAUCCCGAAGGAACAUGUCAGACACCUCGAGGAGACAUUCGAGCUUUUGAGGAAGUAUAAGAUGAAGCUCAACUCGGAGAAGUGUGCUUUUGGGGUCGAGUCAGGGAAAUUCCUUGGAUUCAUGGUGAGCCAUAGGGGGAUUGAAGCAAAUCCCGAGAAAAUCCAGGCGAUUGUGCAAAUGACGUCUCUUUGUAACCUGAAGGAGAUGCAGAGCCUCACGGGGAGGUUGGCGGCGUUGAGCAGAUUCAUCUCCAGGGCUACAGAUAAGUGUCAGCCAUUCUUUCAAGUGAUAAUGAGGGGAAAGAAAACAGAAUGGACCCCAGAAUGCGAGGAAGCCUUCCGGAACUUGAAGCAAUACUUGCAGCAAGCUCCGCUGCUGUCCACACCAAGGGAUGGGGACAAGUUAUAUCUGUAUUUGGCGAUAUCGGAUCGGGCCGCCAGUUCUGUUCUGGUGAGAGAGGAAGAAGGAGUUCAGUAUCCGAUAUACUACACCAGCAAGGCCCUGCUCGACGCUGAAACCAGAUACCCGCCGUUGGAGAAAUGGGCACUUGCCCUUGUGGUUGCUGCUUGGAAGUUGAGGCCAUAUUUUCAAGCAUUCUCGGUCUCGGUAAUAACAAACCAGCUAUUGCGUCAAACUCUGCACAAGCCAGAUGCCUCUGGUCGGCUCGUCAAGUGGGCUGUAGAGCUGAGCGAGUUCGACAUAGAAUAUAAACCCCGCGCUGCGAUAAAAGCCCAGGCAAUGGCCGAUUUCAUAGCUGAAUUCACAGAGCCCGAAGUAUGCUUAGAUCAACAAGAUGCGGUUAUAGGCAAUGAUGAAACUCAAGUAUGGCAGGUGUCUGUGGAUGGGUCAUCAGGGGAGCGGGGUUCAGGAGCAGGGAUUGUCUUGGAAGGCCCAGAGGGGGAGGAGAUUUCUUAUGCUGUAAAGUUGGAAUUUGCAGCCACGAAUAACCAGGCAGAGUAUGAAGCCUUGAUAGCAGGUUUGGAAUUGGCUAAGGCCGUGAAAGCAGACAGAGUUAAGAUCAGAACUGAUUCCCAGCUGGUUGCGAAUCAUGUCAGUGAAAGAUUCCAACCAAGAGAGGAGAAGAUGGAGCAGUACCUGAAGAUAGUCAGGCAGAUGAUGGGGAAGUUCGAAGCAGUGGAGGUGAUACAAAUCCCCAGGGAGCAGAAUAGUCGAGCAGACAUUUUGGCUAGGAUGGCAGCAGAAGCCGACCCAAAAAUGCCAAAGUCGGUCCCUCUGGAGGUGAAGUCCAGCCCAAGUAUCGAUCAGAAUGUGGGGGUGUUGCGGAUAGAACAAAAAUGCUCUUGGAGGGACCCGAUAGUCUCAUACCUUAGAGACGGGGUAUUACCACCAGAUAAGCUGCGAGCUCGCAAGAUUAGAGCCCAGGCUUCGAGAUACGCGAUGAUUGAUGGGGUACUGUAUCGGCGAGGAUAUACACUACCGUUCCUUCGGUGUUUGGAUGAGGACGACGCGGAUUACGUACUGAGAGAAGUACAUGAAGGAAUUUGCGGGAAUCAUUCUGGCGGGAGGUCCCUGGCCCACAAGGUUCUAAGGCAGGGAUAUUUCUGGCCGACAUUGCACCAGGAUGCGCAAGAGAAGACCAGGAGUUGUGUAAGCUGCCAGAGUUUUGCAAAUUUCUCUAACCAGCCACCAGAGAAGCUCACCUCCAUGACCUCCCCCUGACCAUUUGCUCAAUGGGGAAUUGAUCUGAUCGGCCCAUUGCCAAAGGCACGAGGAGCAGCAACACAUGCAAUAGUUGCUAUAGAUUACUUCACGAAGUGGAUAGAGGUAGAAGCCCUUAGCAGUAUCACAGAGAAGAAAACAACAGACUUUGUGUGGAGAAACCUGGUCUGUCGAUACGGGAUCCCUUAUGCCUUGGUAAUAGAUAAUGGCAGGCAGUUCGAUAAUCACAGCUUCAGGGAGUUCUGCCAGAACCUCGGGAUAGAGCUGAAGUAUUGCUCGCCUGCUCACCCUCAAUCGAAUGGACAAGUAGAAGCAGCCAACAAGACCAUCAAGAGACUUUUGAAAACCAGGCUUGGAGCAAAAAAGGGUGCGUGGGUUGACGAGCUGUCAGGUGUGCUAUGGGCAUACAGAACAACCCACAAAACCGCAACUGGGGAGACACCAUUCGCUUUGGCUUUCGGGCAUGAAGCGGUCGUGCCGGCUGAGAUAGGGACGACCACACACCGGACAGGUCAUUUCAAUGAGCAGGAGAACGACGAGCAGAUGUGUUUGAAUCUUGAUCUGCUAACGGAAAGGAGAGAGCAAGCAGCCGAGCGAUCAGCCAUUUACCAACAGAGGGUUGCUCGAUAUUAUAACUAGAAGGUGAACAUACGGCAAUUCAGGGUCGGAGACUGGGUACUGAGAAGAGUGAAUCAGAGCACCAAAGAUUCGACUCAAGGAGUGCUGGGACCGAAUUGAGAAGGGCCAUAUAGAGUCAAGCAGAUAGCGGGACCCGGAGCUUACAAGCUGGUUCGCACGGACGGCCACGAGGUGAAACGCCCAUGGAACGCAGCACACCUCCGAAAAUACUUCCAGUGAGACUUGUUGGCAUUUGAAAGCUAUUUUUGCUCAUGCUCAUUGUGGUUUAUCUUUCACGCUUUAUGUCCAAACAAUUUCAUGUAAGCCGAAUCCGGCCAUUAAUAGAACGUCGAGGAAUUUCUUUUGCUUGAAACCGAGGAAAUUAUCCAAGGCAUGCAAAGGCUCACCAAGUCUCAAAGCCUGUCUUAUGGCGAGACAGAAGCCAAGCAUGCCAGGAUCUGCUCGGCCACGAGAAGGCUAGCAGAAUCCCAAGCUUUGAAGAAAUUAUCCAAGGCAUGCAAAGGCUCACCAAGUCUCAAAGCCUGUCUUAUGGCGAGACAGAAGCCAAGCAUGCCAGGAUCUGCUCGGCCACGAGAAGGCUAGCAGAAUCCCAAGCUUUGAAGAAAUUAUCCAAGGCAUGCAAAGGCUCACCAAGUCUCAAAGCCUGUCUUAUGGCGAGACAGAAGCCGAGCAUGCCAGGAUCUGCUCGGCCACGAGAAGGCUAGCAGAAUCCCAAGCUUUGAAGAAAUUAUCCAAGGCAUGCAAAGGCUCACCAAGUCUCAAAGCCUGUUUUAUGGCGAGACAGAAGCCAAGCAUGCCAGGAUCUGCUCGGCCACGAGAAGGCUAGCAGAAUCCCAAGCUUUGAAGAAAUUAUCCAAGGCAUGCAAAGGCUCACCAAGUCUCAAAGCCUGUCUUAUGGCGAGACAGAAGCCAAGCAUGCCAGGAUCUGCUCGGCCACGAGAAGGCUAGCAGAAUCCCAAGCUUUGAAGAAAUUAUCCAAGGCAUGCAAAGGCUCACCAAGUCUCAAAGCCUGUCUUAUGGCGAGACAGAAGCCAAGCAUGCCAGGAUCUGCUCGGCCACGAGAAGGCUAGCAGAAUCCCAAGCUUUGAAGAAAUUAUCCAAGGCAUGCAAAGGCUCACCAAGUCUCAAAGCCUGUCUUAUGGCGAGACAGAAGCCAAGCAUGCCAGGAUCUGCUCGGCCACGAGAGGGCGAGCAGAAUCCCAAUCCUCGAAGAAUCCAAGGCAUGCAAAGGCUCGACAAAGUCUCAAAGCCUGUUUUAGGGCGAGGCAGAAGCCAAGCGUGCCAGGAUCUGCUCGACCGCGCGAAGGCGAGCCGAAUCCCAGGCAUUGAAGAAUCCCCUAAGGCAUGUGGCAAAACCAUGAGCCAAGCCAGAACCUGCUCGUCCAGACAAAGAUAAGUAGAUUCUCAACCGAAAAUUAAUUCGCACUUACAACACAAGAAAGUAAUCAAAAACCAUUUUUAUUAAUUUGUUAAUAACUAACAUAGGGGAUAAUCUUCAUGAACAUUGUUCGUUACAAUACAAGAGACACAUCAGGAAGAUGGUGGAUCAGUAAGCCCGGCAGCAUCGGUCGGCUGAACCUCCACAGGUGCAGGAGGGGUAUCACCCGUUGCGUCCGGGGGGGUGCUCGCCUCGCCAACAUCAGCAGGGAUUGCACGAGGAGGAGAGUCUUCCUCCUCGACCACGAUCGGCUCUACCCCACCGGCAUCUUCCUUGGCCGCCUCCUCGUCCAUGUGUUGAGCAACACCAGCUGCAAGGUCGUCCAUCUUCAGAUCAGGGUGUUGCUUCCUAAGGACGGCCAUGAUGCAACGAUAGGAAUGCCGAAGUCCCUAGUCGUACUGGUGGUCAGCCUCCCUCUCCAAGUUCUCGACCUGAGCUCGGUGGGAGUCGCGGAGAGAUUCGAGCUGAGCCUCAUACAUAGCCUUCUGCCUUUGCAGAUCCCCCUUGACCUUGGUGAGCUCCUCCUCGAGGGAAAUAGCUUUUGCUUGAGCAAGUGAUUCUUGCUCUAUCAGCUUCAGAUUCUUGAGAUUCAGCUCCCCUGCUUUCUUCUCGGCAACGUCAGCUCUGGUCGUCGCCGAUUGAAUAUCCUCCUUCAUCUUCCGGUCGUAGCGGCCAACCUUAGCCUUGUAAUAGGUGGUCAUGCAGCUGAGGUGGAAAGCGCUAUGCUGCAUGGCCCCCACCAGCUCACUCAAGGUGUGGCCAUCAAAGUCCUCCAGGUCCUUCUUGCUCACGAGUUUAGUUAACUCAUUGAGGUAAGGGACCAGGUGUUCUGCUCGGCUGUCAGGUAAGCGAGAUCGAGGCCCGACAGGAGGAGAAGAGGGAGCAGGAUCUGUGGCUGCUCCACUAGCUUCCCCGACUUUCACAGGAGCAGAAGGUAAAAUCUUCAAGGGUGGGACCUGCUGCACGAUGUUGGCCCGCUUUGCAGUAGGGGCGUCCUUACUCUGGUCCCUCUUCGUGGUUGGAGGUCGGGAACGUUUUCGGGUCAGAGCCCCAAUCACAGCGUCCUCCAUCCUAUGGCCAGGAAGUAUCAAGCGAGACUCGAGCAAGUUGUAUGUAGUUAACAGUUCUCGACUCGAGCAGGAAUUGGCUAGUACAGCCUCGACCCGUUUGAGCUGGUCAGGUCCAAGCGGGAAGUGGACACCCCAAGAAACUACAACACAAACAGACACUCGGUUAGAGACAAAAAAAAAAGGAAGAAAAGAGAGCAAGAACAAUUAUGGAUGCAAGACAUCUAGAGCGAGCAGGCAACCUGGGACCGUGAAACGGGGUGGGACGCGACAAUCCUUCCCGUCUAUUUGUGCAACUUGACCCCAAGGACCCCCAGCAAAAAAGAAUUUUCUCUUCCAAGUCCCACCACCACCGGUCGGAAGAUCGGUUAUGGGUUUCCGGCUCUUGGUGCUAGAUUGGAAGUAGUACCAGCCGGCAUCUUUGGGGCUGCUCUUUAGCUGGUACAGGUGCUUUACCUCAUCAACCGUGGGCUCGCUUUGGCAACAUCUGUCCCACAAGAUGAACAGACCAGAGAGCACUCUCCACCCAUUGGGAUUCAGCUGACCAGGAGCUAGAUUUAGCCCGUUAAGUAUCCGGGCAAAGUAGGGUUGCAAGGGACACCUCAGCCCGUACUUAAAGCUCUCUAGAAACAGGGUAACGUAUCCCCUGGGAGGCCGGCUGGGAGCAUUCUUCUUUCCUAGGACCUUGAGAGGUAUCUCACCAGGAAUGCUAUACCUAAGCCGGAGGUCAUUGAGCUCAUCAAACGAGGUCGUGCACGUCAUGUAAUCAAUGGCAUAAUCGCGCGACAAGGCUCUGCCUCCUACUGUACCCCGUUCUUCUGGUCGUGAUGUUCCAGAUGGAGACACCUCACCAGAGUCACCUUCCCCAUUCUCACUUAAGGUGUCCUCGGAGCCAGAAGAUCCCUCCUCGCCAUUGCUUCCGCUCGUGGAGGUUGUUUGGGGGGACAUCCUCCUAGCACUAGUCCCGACACUAAACCUGAUGGGUUCUAAGGGGAUCCCGGGGUCAAAAGCAGGAUCAGUGAGCAGACCGGGCAGGAAACUUAGUUCGUCGUCAUCAAUCUCAACGACUUUCUCCUUACCCUUCGACAUUCCCUAAGCUCUAACCACAACACCACCAACUACUACCCAAACAGAAGAGAAGAGAAAUUAUCUACAACUAUCCGAGACCAAGGAGAUAGAAGAAAUACCUGAAGUAAUGGUUCAGUCGGUGAAAGUCAGAGAUGGAGGCCUUUUAUGCCGGAACUUCUUUGCCGGAGAGACAGAGACGGAGACGGAGUGAAUGAUGAAUAUGGCGUUUGAGAGGAUUUGGUUUUCCUAAUGAGGACGGACUCUUGGGUUGCCAGCAUUUAACGGUGCCGAAUCCCGAGGGUCUCGUAACCGUCGGUUCGAAAUUCAAAUGGAGGGGGGGAUUUCUGCCACGUCACCUCGUCCGCAAUUAAAUGCGACAUGACUCUUGGCAGCCUUUUCCGAUCCCACGCGAGCGAGUACUAACGAGUUUCUACUGCUGGUCCACUACAUUACCCAACACCAGAAACUGGGGGACCGGUGUUUAGGAGAAAUACGUCGACGAGACCAGGCAUGGUGAGCGGAUAUCUGAUGGCAGAGUUCUGCGAACCGGUAUGUCCCGUAAAAGCCUGGUGCGCGGGGGAACAGGAACAGAAAUAUCCUGCUCACCCACGAGCACGUCAUCCACGAGGCCAAUUUCCUGUAAGAGGCAUAAGGCCAUUCCGGCUAGAGGUCGAGAGGCGAGGAGACCCGGUCGACGGCAGUCGGCAAGACGGGCUCCCCAGCCCGAGAAUCUAGGUACGACAGCCACGCUUUUCCCAGAACCGUGGCGUAACACGCAAGAUCUCACAGAACCACGACAGCCACGCUUUCCCCAGAACCGUGGCGUAACACGCAAGAUCUCACAGAACCACGACAGCCACGCUUUCCCCAGAACCGUGGCGUAACAGGCAAGAUUCCGCGUUUGCCCAUAACGCAGCAGUCAGAGUCCCAUACUGUCUGGGAAAAAGCGGAAGACUGGGAUUCAGGGGAAGCCUAUAAAACGGUAGCCAACGAAGGUAAAAGGGUUAGCAUUUUUGAGAUUAAAAAAGAAAUUCAAAAGAAGAGAAAACCACGAAAAAGCCAUAAGAUCUGUGGCGAGCGUUCCCGGAACCUUCAUAUCUGACUUGAGCGUCGGAGGGUUUGCGCCGGGAAAACAACCGGCGUACUCUGACUUGUCUGUGUGCGUAGGAACCUCUGGAGAAGAAGCCUCACGAGAAGACCUUCUGGUCGUGAAGAAGUUGAUCGGGCAGAAAUCCUGGUCAUAGAACGAGGAGAACUGGAAUCCUGCAUCAACAAUUCCAACCCCAGUGGUUCGAGUGACAGUUGAUAACACAAACGUUGGUGACAGAAUCUGGUCGGUCCAAGGGCGAGCAGAUUUCCGCAUCAACAAGUAUUGUUCUAGCAAUAGCAAUCACUCUAGCUCUCAAAUCUAAGCUUAUUGAAUGUAGAAAGGGAAGCACAGUGUUGUCAAAUGAUAGUAUCUUGUCAUCACAAGCAACGCUAAGAAGAUUUUCAUACUUAGAACUUUUACGAGCAACAAAUAAUUUUUCUGAAAACAACAUAAUUGGCAUAGGAGGUUUUGGUUCUGUUUACGGUGGAAGACUUGAAGAUGGGAUGAAGAUUGCAAUAAAAGUGUUUCACCAGCAAUGUGCAAGCGCAUUGAAGAGUUUUGAGGCUGAAUGUGAAGUGUUAAAAAAUAUUCGCCAUCGAAACCUUAUCAAAGUUAUCAGCAGUUGCUCGAACGAUGACUUCAAAGCAUUAGUCCUAGAAUACAUGUCCAAUGGGAGCUUGGGGGAUUGGCUGCAUUCUAGCAAUUAUGUGUUUAAUAUAUUUCAGAGGUUGAACAUAAUGAUUGACGUUGCAUCAUCUUUAGAAUAUCUCCACUUCGAUCAUUCAACUGCUAUUAUUCAUUGUGACUUAAAGCCUAGUAAUGUAUUGUUGGACGAAAAUAUGGUUGCUCAUUUGAGUGAUUUUGGCAUAGCAAAGCUUUUAAGAGGAGAGGAUGAGUCUAUGAUGCGAACAAAAACCCUUGCCACUAUAGGUUAUAUGGCACCAGGUUUGCUUCAAACAACUUUUUUUUAGUUCAUUUUAAAUUUUCUAAAUCAUUGAUUUUUACGAUCCUCAUAUCAAAUUGUUACUGAUUAUUUAUCUAAUUGUGAAAUUAAUUUGAUUCAUAGAGUACGGCAUUGAAGGAGAAGUAUCUACAAAAAGUGAUGUUUACAGCUAUGGGAUUAUGUUGAUGGAAACUUUUACCAAGAAAAAACCCACAGAUGAAAUUUUUGUUGGAGAAUUGAGCUUAAAGCGUUAGGUUAAUGACUUGCUUCCUAAUUCAUUAGUGGAAGUUGUGGACAAAACUCUGCUAAGUGGAGAGGAAAAACUUUCUACAGCAAAGGAUCAAUGUCUGUUGUCUAUCUUUAUUUUAGCUCUGGAGUGUACAAUGGAAUCACCGGAAAAGAGGAUUAAUGCAAAAGAUAUUGUUACAGGAUUACUCAAGAUAAGAGACAUUGAGUAAAAGGAUUGGAAAUUUAAGUUAAUUUCGUUUGCUUUCAUUGAUAGUUAAAUAGAAUUCAUGUAAUAAGUGUAAGAACCUUAUAUCUUUUCCUUUGAUUUUUUUUCUUGAGAAAACUGUUGCAGUCAUCUUGUUUGCAUGGACAGAGUUGAUUUAGUUCUUCCAAGAAAUGCUACUGAUGAUCUUUGUUUUAUACUUUCUCUUUUUCUUUUUUUUGCAUGUGUUUAGGUAGAAUAGUGAUUUGGUUGCACUUUAAGAAGUCAAACUACACUAAAGAAUAUGAUUUAAUUUAUUAAACAAAACUUCAAGUUCAAGAAAAGUAUCUCAUUGCCCCCAAUGCUUUGGACACCUAUAUAUUGAAAGGUUUGUUGUCCUCAGCUUUUGUUUAGAGCAAAAGUUCGAGUCCCAUAAAGGCUCAAACAUUCCUUUCCUUCAUCCCGAGGGCGCCUUCUGUCCUCUGUUUUCUAUUUCCACACACAAAUAGCAAAAAGAAAUUAGAAUGACAACUGGGACAUAUAUAAGAGUGAAAUAAUUAAAAAAAUUAUGCUUUUUUGUUUGUCGUGUUAAAAUCGUAAGUACCGAAGUACUAUGAAAGAGAUUAAUUUACAGAAACUGAAGCCAAGGGUUAAAAAAAAAGUGCAAAGAGAAUAAUUGUAUUGGUAGCACAAUGUCAUAUUCAUACAGAGAUCAAGUAUAUUAUUUACGGCUAGUAAGGACUAAGAAUUAAUUGUACACUAUUGUUUUAUUCUACAAUCAAUCUUGACCCUUGAUGCUUGGCUCUCAAUCUUGUCCAUUGAUCUUCUCUGAUUUUGGAGACUUGAAGACCUUUCAGUAUCAUGCCUUGUUGUUGGUGUCUUCCAUGCUGUAGAACCGUCGACUUGCCAGGAAUUUGUUCAUUGAUGCAUUUUAUCAAACAGUUGGCCUGCUCAUAGCAAACAGCUCCUGUGUUAACUCCCCCUCCAUAGCUCAACUAUUUGGGAAGACAAUUAAUUGAGCUUGUUUCACAAUUAUAUGAAUCUGAAAGUUCAAGUUCAAUUCGAUGUUAUUGUUGGAGAAUUAACAAAUAAAACACACUAUUUUAUUUCUUCAACAACACUCCUCACCAAUUACAACUCUUAUUUUUCACUCUCUACACCUUAGAGAUUUUGCUACUUCACUUGAUGUUUAAACCAAAUGGGAGAGGGGGUAUUUAUACAUGAAACAAACUAAUCACAACCAUUCAUUUAUUCAACUAAUAAACAAAUCCUCACCAUCCAUUAAAACCUACUACUCACCUACUUCACCAACCACACCUAACACAAAUAAUUCAAACCUCACCAACCAUACCUACUCAUGGAACCUUCCAUGAGUUGGGCUUGAUUUAUUCAUCUUGGAUCAAGUUUAUGAUCCAACAUCUCCCCUUAAAUUUGAUCCUGUGACACCAAGCAAACUUCUGAAUCUUACAAAGUCUUCUUGCUUGAGUGGCUUAGUGAAGAUAUCAGCUGCUUGAUCUUGUGAUUUUACAUACUUGAUUUGCACUUCUUUUUUUGCAAUACACUCUUUUAUGAAAUGAUAGCAAGUGUCUAUGUGUUUACUUCGAUCAUGAAAGACUGGAUUCUUGGAUCGGGCAAUUGCUAAUUUGUUAUCAACACAAAUCUCGAUUGGCUCUUUUUGUGCCAAACUCAACUCCUUCAGCAAAUUUCUGAGCCAAAUUGCAUGACAAACACUUGAUGUGGCAGCUACAUAUUCAGCUUCACAGGUGGAUAGCGUGACAAUUGGUUGCUUCUUUGACAUCCAUGUGAAAGCAGUAUCUCCCAUGAAGAACACAAAUCAUGUUGUGCUCUUUCGAUCAUCUACAUCUCCACCCCAAUCACUAUCGCUAUAUCCAAUAAGCUUGUAGUCAUUAGAAAAUGAGUAUAACAAGCCGAAAUUAAUUGUACCUUUGAUGUAGCGAAGGAUUCUUUUUGCAGCUUUAAAAUGGGUGGUCUUUGGAUUCUUCAUGUAUCGGCUCACAAGUCCAACAGCAUAAAGGAUAUCUGGUCUUGUGCAUGUCAAAUAACGUAAGCUUCCAACCAAACUUUUAAAGAAUGUUGGAUCUAUAUCUUCGCCUUCAUCAUAUUUGGAUAACUUGACUCCGCAUUCCACUGGCGUGCUUAUAGGCUUGCAAUCAUUCAUCUUGAACCUUUUGAGAAUCUCCUUUGCAUAGCUUUCUUGGGAGAUAAAUAUGCCUUCUUCUUUUUGCUUGACUUCAAUGCUGAGGUAAUAUGCCAUCAGUCCGAUGUCAGUCAUCUCGAACUCUUUGAUCGUCACUCUCUUGAACUCUUCAAACAAGCUUGGAUUACUUCCAGUGAAGAUGAGAUCAUUCACAUACAGGCACACAAUCAAAAUAUCUCCAUCUUUUUCUUUGACGUAGAAAGCAUGUUCAUAUGGGCAUUUGUGAAGCCUUUCUCUUAAAAAUACUUGUCAAUUCUGCUAUUCCAUGCCUUUGGUGCUUGCUUUAACCCGUAAAGAGCUUUCUUCAAUCUCAAAACUUUGUCUUCAUGUCCUUUCACCACAUAGCCUAAUGGUUGUUCGAUGUAAACUUCUUCUUCAAGGAAUCCAUUCAAGAAAGCAGACUUCACAUCCAUUUGAAAAAUCUUCCAUUUGUUCUGAACAGCCAAAGAAAUAAUAACUCUAAUAGUUUCAAGUCGAGCUACAGGAGCAAAUACCUCGUCAUAGUCUAUGCCAGCCUUUUGACUAUAGCCUUUUGCAACUAACCUCGCCUUAUGCCUUUCAAUUUCUCCCUUCGCAUUUCUUUUUGUUUUAUACACCCAUUUGACACCAAUCGCCUUGUGACCUUUUGGAAGAGUAGUAAGCUCCCAAGUAUCAUUCUUCACAAUGGCUUUGAUUUCUUCAUCCAUUGCAAUUCUCCACUUCUCAUCUAGUGCAGCUUUUUGGAAGUUGACUGGCUCACAAUCAACAAAGAGGCAAAAGAGAGUGAGAUUAUCAUGUCUCUCAGUUACCUCAUAGAGAUCUUGAAGACUCCUUAUACAUUCUUCGGUUCUUUCAUUUAAGAAAGACGGCGGUGAAUCUCCGCAUGUGGUUGAUGCUGGUGAGAUAGGUAGAGUGGCAGGCUCUUGUUGUUCGUCUACUUGUUUUAUCUAUGUAUGAUCAUCUUCUUAAAUGGGAAAGAAGUUGAAGUCAUCCACACCAGAGCCAAAAUCUCAUUCUCCUUCUUCAUCAAAAACUACAUCUCGACUGAUCACGAUCUUCCCGUUGUUUGGAUUGUAAAGCUUGUGUCCUUUGGAGUUGUUUUCGUAGCCGAUGAAGAUGAACUUCUCACUUUUGUCAUCCAACUUGGCUCUACUUUCGUCUGGUACAUGUACAUGAGCAAUGCUUCCGAAAACUCUUAGAUGGGUGAUGCCGGGUUUUCUUCCACUCCAAGUUUCUUGUGGCGUCUUGCCCCCACACGCUUCUUGUUGGAGAUCGAUUGGAAAAGUAGACUGCACAUGCAACAGCUUCAGCCCAAAAUUCUUUAAGUAGCCUCUUACUCUUAAGCAUGCUUCUUGCCAUAUCGAGGAUGGUUCUGUUCUUUCUUUCUACAACACCAUUUUAUUGGGGGGGAUCUUAGAACUGUCAAAGGACGUCGAAUUCCAUUUACUUCACAAAACUCUAAAAAUUCUUUGGAAGUGAACUCUCCACCUCAAUCAGAUCUCAUGGCUUUAAUCUGGUAUCCACUUUUUUUUUUCAACUGCAGCUUUAAACUUCUUGAAAGCUUCAAAGACUUCUGAUUUUUGCUUCAAAAAAUACACCCAAGUUUUUCUUGAAAAAUCAUCUAUGAAGAGAAGGAAGUAGUUACUUUUCCAAAGGAGUUUGGCUUGAAUGGACCGCACACAUCAGUAUGAAUGAGCUCGAGUGGUUUCUGAGCUCUUGAGUUUGACUCCUUUGGAAAGCUCUUUCUGAACUGCUUGCCAAGUAAACAUCCUUCACAAAGUUGAUCAGGGUGAUUGAUGUAUGGUAAGCCUUUCACCAUGUUCUUCUUAGAUAGUAGCUCCAGUCCUCCAAAGUUGAGAUGCCCAUAUCGAAGAUGCCAAGUUCAGGAUUGAUCUUUGUGACAGGCUUUGAGACAUUUUGCAACAUCAUUUUGAAUAUUUAAUGGAAACAUUCUAUUCUUCGACAUUUUCACCUUUGUAAUUAGAUUUCCUUUGUCAUCUCUUAGGAAAAGACUAUAAUCUUUUAAGUGAACAUCAUAGCCUUUUUCUAAAAGUUGACCUAAACUAAGAAUGUUGCUUUUCAUAUUGGGCACAUAGUAAACAUUCGAAAUUAUUUGGUGGCUACCAUCUUUUGCACGAAAAAGAAUGUUACCUCUACCUUUUACUGGUACUUUUGAAUCAUCUCCAAAAGCGACACUGCCAUUCACAGAUUCACUUAGUUGCACGGACAUGCUUCUAUUUCCACUCAUAUGAUUGCUAGCACCUGUGUCAAGAUACCAUGUAUUUUCUUGAUCUCCACUUGUGUCAUUGCGUGCUAGUAAAAGUGUGCCAUCUUCACCAUUUUUCUCUUCAGCAUAGUUCACUCUCUCAUCAAUUCUGGUGCUUGGAGCUCUGCAUUCUGAAGCAUAAUGCCCAAACUUUUGACAAUUAUAGCACUGUACUUGGGAUUUGUCAUACCUCGAUCUUAGAUUGCCUCUGCCUCGUCCUCUGGUUGAGCUUUCUCCUUUGGCAUAAUUUGAGUUGUUGUUGUUGAAAUUCGAACCUCGUCCAUGACCACGACCUCUACCUCGUCCUCGACCUCUACCUCGGACAUAGUGCCUUCUUUCGUUGUCGGAUUGACUUCCAUCUUGAGAAGUUGUUCUUCGAUUCCUUGCUUUUUUUUUUGUUUUUCUUCAUAGGCUUGCAACCUUCCUUGAAGUUGCUUGAUCGUCAUAUCCUCCAAAUCUCUUGUUUCUUCAAUUGUCACAACAAUAUGGUCAAACUUCGAGUCUACUGAUCAAAGUAUCUUUUCAAUGAUCCUUACCUCUUUUAACUCCUCGCCAUUUCUUUUUAAUUCAUUGGAAACGGUCACAACCCGAGUAAAGUAGUCAGAAAUUGACUCCGAUGCCUUCAUGUGUAAGGACUCAAAUUCUCCUCGUAAUGUUUGGAAACGAACCUUUUUAACUUGCUCUGCUCCUUUGUAAGAAGUCUCUAGUUUCUCCCAUACUUCUUUUGAGGAGGUUGUACCAGCAAUCUUUUCAAAAGAAUCUUCAUAUAAUGAUUGAAAGAUGAGAUAUUUUGCUUUAUUUUCUUUCUUCUUCAAGUCUUUUAAAUUCUCCUUCUGCGCCGCAGUUAAAGUGGCUUCAUUUUCUGGCACAAUAAAGCCUUUCUCCACGAUAUCCCAUACGUCAUGUGCGCCCAAUAGAGCCUUCAUUUUAAUACUCCAAUUGUCAAACUUACUUCCCUUUAAUUGUGGAACUUGAAAUGAAAUCAUACCACCGUUUGCCAUAACUCACAAAUUGAGUGAGAAUUUGGAGAUUCUGAAAGCACAGAUGGAUCUGGCACGUCGAAAAACCUUGGGAAUGACUCGAGUCAACUUUCGGUCAAUGGUCAACAGUCAAUGCUAGUCAACGGUCAACGUCGGGCAACGGUCAAUGCCGGCUUGGUAGUCUUGGUUCAGUCCGGAUUGGUUCAGCUCGAGUUGGCUCGGUUCGACUUGACUCGGUUCAGCUCGGCUCAGCUUGGUUCAGUUCGGCUCAGCUUGGUUCAACUCGGUGAGUCGACUUAGCGUCAGGACAGAAAACUUCCGGCGGCAAGUGUGGGCGCGUUGGGUCUCGGAUCCGGAUGAUUAUUGCGGCGUCACGUUCCUCUCUUCGAGAUCUUCGAUUUGAUAUGCUAUAUGACUAUAUAUAGCAUUAAACACUAACUCUGAUACCAUUUUGUUGGAGAAUUAACAAAUAAAACACACAAAAAACACACUAUUUUAUUUCUUCAACAACACUCCUCACCAAUUACAACUCUUAUUUUUCACUCUCUACACCUUAGAGAUUUUGCUACUUCACUUGAUGUUUAAACCAAAUGGGAGAGGAGGUAUUUAUACAUGAAACAAACUAAUCACAACCAUUCAUUUAUUCAACUAAUAAACAAAUCCUCACCAUCCAUUAAAACCUACCACUCACCUACUUCACCAACCAUACCUACUCAUGGAAUCUUCCAUGAGUUGGGCUUGAUUUAUUCAUCUUGGAUCAAGUUUAUGAUCCAACAGUUAUAUGGGUAUUUCAUUUAUUUGAGUAGGGGUUAGGGGUCAAUUGGAUACAAAUUCAAAAUUAUCCUUACUUGAGAUGGUGAUAAAAGUUGGGGAUUUAGUUUGGGUGUCAUUAGCUACAAAUAUUAAACUCAUACAUCUAAUUCAAAAUUAGAGGGCUGAUAUAUGUGCAUCCUCGUGCACAUUAUAGUGACACGUGUCACCAUCCAACAACCUAUCCAAUGAAAAAUUGACCUGCAUCUUGUGCGCUUCUGAUCAAAAUCCUGAAAAUUAAUCACAAAGUUAUACUUUUAUUAUAAAAAGAAUAAAGAAACUCCAAGAAAAAAAAAAGACUUACAUAAAUAGUUUGAGUAAUCUAGAUUCCAAGUUGUCUAUAUUAGCUUGAUCUUUUUAUAAAUAGUCAUCUUCGAAAAAAAAUUCCACCAAUAUAUAUUUUAAUUUUAUGUUAAUUAAUAAAUAGAAAAAAAAAUCAUUUUAGAAUUAAUUAAAACAUUAUUUAUUGUUGCCAAAAAAAGGAAGAAUUUAGUGAUAAGAAAAAAGUGUCUCAAAUAUACGUUAAAAAAAUUAAUCAUGGUGGGUUCGAUUGAUUGAAUUUUUUUUAUCUUUUUCUUUUUUAAGAAUUAAGACAAUUGGAUUGAUUGAGUAAUAAUAAAAUAUAUGUAUUUGGCAAAUGGCAGGGAGGCUUUCGUCUAAUGCAGAUUGAUUAGAGAGAAAAUAUAACAAUUUUAAGCUCGUCAGAUUCGAAGCUGCUUACUUGUCGUGUGGGGAUCACUUCCGUGUCUUAUUUUUCUAGAAAAAUCUUGAUCAUUGGAUUUCCCAUUAGUCAAUACAGAAAUGUUGAUCUUGAUUCUUGAUUAAGAUCGAAGUUUGAUUCUAACCAACAUGAUGUCAGAUUCAGAUUGCGAAGCAAGCAAAUUGAAAGUAACUUGUUCUAUUUUGAUAAACACAAGUUCUAAUAAAACAUUCUCAUAGUAAAGUGAAUUACCAUCCAACGAUCCAACUCAUGUUUUCAAAUUGUAAAUUGCAAAUCAUGUGUUUGCUCCAUUACAGCGUUUCUUCAAUCUGAAAUAGAGAAUCAUUUGUGUUCUGGAUUAAUCGUGGGUCUAUAUCCAAAUCUAAAAAUUGACUAACUUAAUUUCUAUUAAAUUCUUAAUCCUAACAAGAAAAAUUGAAGAUUAAAAACGACUAAUUUGGUACCAUACCACUAUUGUAACAUAGGUAGAUCCUCUAUUAAUUGGAGUAAAGAUUGAAUUAUCUCAUUUAUUACGGUUUAUCAAAAUCUUGUGUCAAAAUCUAUUAAUGAUAUAGGUUCAAGGAUGAAAGAGUCACUUCAUUACUUUUGAGUUCGCAAAUAGAUGAAUGGAUCUUAUUUUUAGAUUCCGGAGACAAGUUUAUUGGAAGAAACAAGUUUAUUGAUGUGAGGCCAUUGAGAUUGUAAGUUUUAAAUCUGAGAAGAAUACCCACACACCCAUUAUCCUAUUACUCUUAUAUCACAUGAAGAGAAUUCAACAUUUGAUUCACAAGGAAAAAAUUUGUGAGGAUUGUGAGGGUUGAUGGAAUAUAAUUUAGAUACAAAGUGUUUACCAGUGCGAUGCUUCGCAAGUGUUCUGGAAUCAAUAUAAACUCACAUUAUUUUCAUAGUGAUUGUUUCAUUUGCACGUGGAUAUAAUCACAUGUCGAGAUUUUUUUCCUUAAAUUAUGGUCUUAUUUAGUACCGAGGUGUUAUAUCUUUUAACGUACAAUUAUUGUUGGAAAAAAGUUGCAACUAUCAAAUAAAAUUAAUACUAUGUGCUAAAUAUAAUUGUUAAAUAAUAAUUUUGACAAAAUUAGUGAAGUUAUAUAGAUUUUUUUUUAUCAUCCAAGUAUAAAAUCAAAUCAACUUAACUUCUAAGUUAUAUAUCGGCUACUGUUUAUCAUAUGUUUUAGUUCUGUAACUUUUAAGUUAUAGUUACCCAACCUUAAUUCUAAACAAGACCUAUAAAGAUCAAAGAUUUCCUCAUUAAAUUAUAUGUCUUGUGAUUGCUUAUUUAAUUUAUAUUUUUGUUAUUUAUCUUUAUUAAUUAUAAUCAUCUUUUUAUAAAUUAAAAUUGAAGGAAGUUGAUUGAUGUUGUUGACACACACACACACACGCACGCACACACUCACAAAGAUAUAUUGGAAGUGCUUACGUUGACUCAAAGUUGUUGGGAAUUAAUGCAUGUAUUAAUUGAUUUAUUGGGAGUGUUUAAAUGAUUUUGUGAUUUACUUGAUUUAUUGAUUGAAUAUUGUUUGAUUGCUUCACAUCCAUUCUAGAAAGUUUAUUUCUUUGUGAAAUUUCAACGAAAUAUGUUUUUGUUUUUAAAUAAGGGUGUUCUAAAUAAUGUUAAAAAAUAUAUGGACUAAUUAGAAUUAAUUAUUAGGUAAUUAACUUAAUCUGUACAGGGUGAAACAACAUUUAUCCUAAUUAUAUCAUGAUAAAUACUUUUCCGAUUAGAAUUAGGAAAUCAUAGGUUUGUUGAAUUAUUAUUUUUAUUUUUCUUUGCAGAAACGGAUUAGAGAAUUAGAAAACAAUGUUGAUGUCAAAAUCUGAUCUAGUCGGUUAGCGACUUAAUAUCAUAUUACUGCACCAGCAUUAAAUUUAUUUGGUGGAGAAUCGGCUGGUCAAUUGUCAAGAUGUCCUGCAAUCACUAGCGAUUAACCUACGAAUACUUGAAAUCACAGAAGACGGUAAGAGGCACUGGAAGUUUUUUCAACGUGAACCUUCUGACGCUCAAGUCAGUUUAUAGGUUUACCAUAAUAAAAAUAAAUAAUUUCUAUUUAAAACAAAAAAUAGAGAUCAAAAGCUCAAAAAUAAAACCCAAUCCCAAUAUGAAGAAUAAUUUUUUUUUUUUAGCUUGGCCGAAUCCUUCUGCCUCCUAAAGAAACAUAACAGAGAAGUAGGUAGCCAUGUUCCCUAUGUAACGCCCCACUCCCAUCUUUUAUUCCUCCCCCUCUCUUCCGUUGCCUUCUUUUGCUCACUAUCCUUUAUAAUUUUUUAUGCUUGUCUUCCCAAAAUAGCCUUUGAAUACACAAGUAAAUGUCUAGGCUUUGGUGAGGAUAGUUUGGUCAUUGCAUUUUACAAGUAAGAUGACUGGUGGAGAAAAAUGAGGAGUGCACAAAACUCUUCAGCAAAUCCCACCAACAAUUCCAUUUUCUUAAUUAAUUAAUCUCCUUUUUUUAUCCCCAAACAAAUCCUAAUGAUACCAUUAUCAGGUUUAAAACAGUACACAAAUAGUGAAAAGCUAACUAGUCUGUAGAGUAAUUUGCUAAUUGCUAUCUCCUCUCUACGCGCGCUGAAUAAUUUGUUGCAUGCAAACUUUUUAUUUUAUGCAAAUCGUAUGUACUGUAACAUUGGAAUUGAUGGAUAAGCAAAAAUACAAGAAUAUUUAUGCCAAUAAAAAUAGUUUUUUUUUCCUUUUUAAAUAAACACAACGCGAUGUUGCUCUGCUCUACAUUUUUGCUAUCUCUUUAUUCUUUUUUUUUUUUUUUGGGCUUCUUAAAGCCUCAAACUUUGAUAACCAAAACUUCAUCGACCUAUGAAAAAAUCUGCAGAUUAGUUUUUAUUAUCGGAAUAAUUGUUUGAGAAUACUAAAACAAAAUAUAAAAUAAGAAAAUAGGGGGUUAAAUUAGAGGGGGAAAAAAGGCAUGUUCUAUCGAUUACUAUAGCUUAAGGGGAAAAAAAAAAUCAAUUGGGAAUUUUUUUCUUUAAUUUUUGUUUUACUUGAUAGAGAUUUCUCCUUAGUCCUUACAGUUUUAAGUUUGGAUGCCGUAGGGUUAGUAAUUUAGUAUUUCCCUUGCAAGCUGAGGUUAAGGAUGGAAUUUCUUUAAAGAAAUUAAAAAGGAUUAAAGAAAAGCAUACCAAUAGGUAAUUAUAAAUAACCAUAAAUAAACAUAAAAAAAAUGUUUAUGAAGUAAAUUACACAUGCACAUAUUAUUUUUUUGUUAUAUUUCUUACUUGUCUAUUUUAUUUGCUGCUUGAUAACCCUUAAAUACUAAUGUAUUAAAAAAGAUUACUCAAAAUGAUGACCACUGGCUUCGCACCAUUUAACCGGCAUACAUUUCUACAAAUUGAACAAGGCUAUUGAUUUUCAUUAUUUUUUUUUAUAAAUUACUAUUUUAAUUUUCACUUUUUAUUGGGUUGUUUAACGGAUUAGUGAAGUUGGUGGUCGUGAUGCACUCACAAGGUACAAUUUUAUUUUAUAAUUUCAAAUUUGUAUUUUAAAAUGCAGGUACAUUAUGUAUACAUAAUUAUUGAUUUUCAUAUGUGGGUGUUUUGAAAUAUUGCUAAAAGACCAAACUUUAAUAAACUAUUUUUCAUCUUUUUUUCCCUUUUUUCCUAAAGGUUGAGUGAUAUCCGCAUUUUAAAUUCAUGUGCUACAAAAGCUAAUGAAUGCACAAAAUUCUUUUAUUUUUUCCUAGAAAAAUGGUAAGAGAAGAAGAUUUUUCUCUUGAAAAAGAAAAACUAAUACGAUGCAAACAUAGGAAAGAGGUCAGUGUUUUGGAUUAGAAUUUAGUAUUGAGCUGAAUUUUAUACUAAACUCUUUUAUAGUACUGCGAUUAAUGAACUCAUGAUUUGCUUUUGCUUUUACUUCAAGUGAAAGAAAGAGGAAACCUUUUGUUUUUUGUUUGAUUCUUGACUAUAGAUGUUACCUAUAUAGAGAGUUGAGGUAGCUGCCUUAAGUGAUGGUGAUAAAAAGAUUAAGCAGCGCACACAAUCUUACUGUCGUCCAGACCAUCCAGCUGUGAUGGCUCUAGUUUUUUGGUUACAUUAGCUUUAGUGGAAAGGAGGGCCAAUUUAACAAAGACUAGAUUUGGUGGCUUACUAUAAUGCUUAUUCUCAAGGAAUCUAAUGUUAUAAGAUGAUUUAAUGAUCUUCUAUGAUUGUGAGUAGUAUAGUAUAAUUGAAAAGAGCCUGGGCUCCUAUGAUGAAUAUUUAAUAGUAACACAAUAUUGUGAUUGAAAAAAACACUGUUACAAUAAACUCUUCAUUUAUUCAUUGCGGAUAUUGAAUGGCAAACAGAGAAUAAAAUGAAGCAGAGGAAUCUCAUUGCUAGUAAAAUUGACCCUCUUUAAUGUUAUAUGGCACAGGUGUGUGUACAGCAAGAGCAAGUGACUUGCAGUUUUUUUUUGUAAAAUAUACAGGUUAUGACCAUGAUCAUUGUAGUUAGGUUUUGACGAUUUUAGAUGCUUUUUUUAUUUUUUUUAAAUUGUGACACCUUUGAUUUAUGGUAGUUUUGCAGAAGAAAAAAAUAUAUAUAAAAAUUAGGAAGAAUGAGUUAACUAACAAUUGCAAUCAUUACAGCAAUGUUGAUGAGUGAUACAUCAUUUGAAAUUUACUUGUCAGUUGCUAAAAUGAUGAAAAAAAACAAUAAACAAUAGCAGUAAUAUUUUUAUGGAAAUUCUUGGUUUUUAUGGAAAUACUCUUGCUGAAAUUCUAAUUUUGACUUUCAACUCUUGGUUUUUAUGGAAAGUAAAAUGACUUGUUUGUUAUAUUCAUACAAUCCACUCUACAUAAUGAUUUCAUUUUAAUAAAUGCUUGAUGAUCUCCACUGAAAAACUACUUCAAUUCUUUUGUUUUAUUUAACUUUUUGGUUGUUGAAAAUAGCCUUAAUUUUCAAAUAACGGGAGAAAGAGUAAAGAACAUUUAACAAAUUUAUGUGCCAAAAAUAAAGGAGAAAUUGAAGAGAAAGGGUGCUUGCAGAAGUGGGUGCAAAGAUAAAUCAGUCUAUAAGAAUUAUUGUGGUUAUUAAUUUUUUGGCAAUAUAAAAAAUUUUCAGCAAAUAAAAAUUGAUUUUUUCCAAUUUACUAAAAAAUUAAUUAAAAACUUUGGCGAUAGCAUUUUUUGUUGGUGCAUGUACCCUCCCUUUUAAAAAAAUAUAAUAAUUAAUACUUAAUAUAGUAUUAAAUACGAAAAUAUCAAAAUUUGACUACACAAAUUUAUAUCAUUAGGUCCUUAAAAUUUAAAAUUGAAGACAUAGAAUGAAAUAUAUAUAUAUAUAUAUAAAUUUUAUAAUCUUAAAAUAUUUGAGCUUUGAAAGAUUUUUUAAAACAAAUGUACUUUUAUUUUUGUACAAUCAAUAUUUACUUAUUUAUUAUAUUUUUAUUCAUUAACUAUCAAUUGUGUGAGUAUAUCUACUUAGAAAUAUCAUAUCAAGGGAGAAUCUUGAUCCCACGUACACGCAAAUAUGUUAAUUUCUAUACGCUUCACUUACCUGUAGAAUCAAUUAUCUAAAAUGCAAGUUUGUGGCCACAAAAAAGGCCAAAGAAAGAAGAUAAUAACAAUUGACUUGUAUAUUAUACUCAUACAAUCCACUCGACAUAAUGAUAUCAUUUUAAUAAGGCAAUGGCUGAUGAUCUCCAUUGAAAAACUAAUUCAUUUUUUUUGCUUCAUUUAACUUUUUGGUUGUUGAAAAUAACCUUAAUUAUCAAAUAAUUGGAGAAAGAGUAAAGAACAUUUAACAAAUUUAUGUGCAAAAAAAAAAGGAGAAGUUGAAGAGAAAGGGUGCUUGCAGAAGUGGGUGUCAAAGAAAAAUCGGUCCAUAAGAAUUAUUGCGGUUAUUUUUUCGCAAUAUAAAAUUUUUAUAGCGUGUAAAAAUUAAUUUUUUUUCCGAUUUACUAAAAAAUUAACUAAAAACUUCUGCGACAGCAUUUUUUAUGGGUGCAUAUACCCUCCCUUUAAAAAAAUAAUAAUAAUUAAUGCUUAAUAUAGUAUUAAAUACGAAAAUAUCAAUAUUUGACAACUCAAAUUUAUAUCAUUAGGUCCUUAAAAUUUAAAAUUGAAGACACGAAAAGAAAUAUAUAAAAAUUUCAUUCUCAUGGAAAGGAUUCUCUUAUAAUCUUAUAAUAUUUGAGUUUUGAAAUUUUUUUGAAACAAAUGUAAUUUUAUUUGUGUACAAUCAAUAUUUACUUAUUUAUUAUAUUUUAAUUUAUUAACUAUCAAUCAUGUAAGUAUAUUUAGUCAGAAAAAUUAUAUCAAGAGAGAAUUCUAAUUUCACACAAACACAAAUACAAGACAAAUAUGUCAAUUUCUAUACUAUUCACUUUCCUGUAGAAUCAAUUAUCUAAAAUGGAAGUUUGUGGCUACAGAAAACUCGCCAAAGAAAGAAGAUAAUAACAAUUGAGCAUUGAUAGCAAAACUAAUGCAUCAUUUUCUUCUUGACUUGAUGAGAUGGCGCCAUCACAAAAAAACAAGUACCUUAAUUGACGGGCACUGAGUGAUGUGAAUACUACCAGCCAGUUCAUCUCUUCCAGUCUUGCUUAAUCACAAUCACAAACACCACGAGAUUGACAUUUGCAUUAUAUAUAUGUUCAGCAAUCGAAACACCUUGCAUUACCAAAUUAACCGCUAACAAACAAAGCAAUCUUUCAGGGAGAGAAACUUUAGUCUCAGUAUGAUCACUGUGUCAUUAACCCACUUCCUGCUUCUUUGCUUGGUUGUUGUAGCAGCAGCAGCAGCAAGCAACAAUAUUACCACAGACCAACAAGCUCUUCUUGCCCUGAAAGAUCAUAUAAUUUAUGAUCCGACCAACCUUUUAGCCCAUAAUUGGACCUCGAAUACAUCUGUUUGUACCUGGAUUGGCAUCACUUGUGAUGUCAAUAGCCAUAGAGUCGCAGCCUUAGAUAUUUCUCAAUUCAAUCUACAAGGCACCAUCCCUCCUCAACUUGGAAACCUCUCUUCACUCACAACGCUUAAUCUUAGUCAUAACAAGCUUUCUGGAAACGUUCCCUCCUCCAUCUACACAAUGCAUACGCUAAAAUUUCUUGACUUCACUGAUAACCAGCUCUCUGGUUCGGUGUCUUCCUUCGUCUUCAACAUGUCUUCAAUAGUAGAAAUUCGUUUGACCAAUAACAGAUUUUCUGGUGAGCUUCCGAAAAAUAUUUGCAACUAUCUUCCUCAUUUGAAAGCCCUUUUUUUGGACAAAAACAUGUUUCAUAGCAAAAUUCCUUCUGCUUUAUCAAAGUGCAAACAACUGCAACAAUUAAAUUUGCAGUUCAAUAAUUUAUCCGGUGCAAUACCAAAAGAAAUCGGCAACUUGACUAUGCUCAAAGGGAUAUCUCUAUUAUGCAACAAACUCCACGGUAUGUUCAUAAUACUAUGUAAAUAUUUUAAUUUCUCACUUGUUAUUUUUCUUGAAUACUUUAGAUAAGAUCUUGUAACAGAGAUUUUUUUGCAUCUAUGUUAAUUUGCCAGGUGAGAUACCCCACGAAAUCGCUAAUCUUCGAAAUCUAGAGGGUUUAGUGCUUGGAAUGAACAACCUAGUUGGUGUGUUACCAGCUCCAAUCUUCAACAUGUCAACACUGAAGGUACUUAUCCUCAUGGAUAACUCUCUCAGUGGAAGUCUACCAUCAAGAAUAGACCUUUCACUUCCAACUGUUGAGUUUCUUGAGUUGGCACAUAAUAGAUUUUCUGGAACCAUUCCUAGUUCCAUCACCAAUGCUUCUAAGCUCACCGUUCUAGCGUUGGGAGAGAACACAUUUUCGGGCUUCAUUCCAAACACAAUUGGUAAUUUAAAAAACCUUGAGUGGCUCAGCUUGGAGAAUAAUUACUUGAAAUCUUCAACCUCAAAAUUGAGCUUUCUUUCCUCUUUGGCAAAUUGCAAGAAAUUAAGAUUCUUAAACUUAGGAGGCAAUCCACUCGACGGUAUCCUUCCAAGUUCAAUAGGUAAUCUUUCUAAGUCUUUGGAAACACUUGUCAUCGCCAAUUGCAGUAUUAGUGGCAACAUUCCGGAAGCAAUUAGCAAUUUAAGCAACUUGUUGACCUUAGUAUUAGAACGCAAUAAAUUGACUGGACCAAUUCCAAUUACAUUCGGCCCACUACAGAAACUCCAAGGCUUAUAUCUUGCAUUCAAUAUGUUGGUAGGUUCAUUCCCAGAUGAGCUUUGCCAUCUAGGUAGGCUGAAUGAAUUGGUCUUAUUUGGCAAUAAGCUUUCAGGAUCUAUACCUUCAUGCUUAAGUAACCUCACUUCUCUGAAAUCUCUCUACUUAGGGUCCAAUAGGUUUACUUCUGUUAUUCCCUCAACCUUCUGGAGCCUAAAAUACAUCUUGUUCUUUGACUUUUCAUCAAAUUUCUUGGUGGGUCCUCUUUCUUCAGACAUAGGUAAUUUGAAGGUGCUUCUAGGAAUAAAUUUAUCAGAAAAUAACUUAUCGGGUGAUAUGCCAGCCACAAUUGGAGGACUAAAAAACCUUCAAAUUAUGGACCUAGCAUAUAAUAGAUUGGAAGGCCCAAUUCCUGAAUCAUUUGGUGACUUGACAAGUUUGGAGGUUUUGAAUUUGUCAAAUAAUAAAAUCUCCGGGUCUAUUCCAAAAUCCUUGGGGAAACUCUUUUACCUCCGAGAGUUAAAUCUCUCUUUCAAUGAACUAGAAGGUGAGAUUCCUAGUGGAGGAAUUUUUGCCAACUUCACAGCUGAGUCAUUUAUGGGAAAUGAGUUAUUGUGUGGUUUACCAAAUCUUCAAGUCCAACCAUGCAAAGUUAGCAAGCCGAGGACAGAACAUAAAUCAAGGAAAAAGAUACUUCUCAUUGUGAUUGUUUUGCCAUUGAGUAUUGCUCUAACGAUAGCAAUCACUCUAGCUCUCCAAUCUAAGCUGAUCGAAUGUGGAAAAAGAAGCACGGUGUUAUCAAAUGAUAGUAUCUUGUCAUCACAAGCAACACUAAGAAGAUUUUCAUACUUAGAACUUUUACGAGCAACAGAUAAUUUUGCUGAAAACAGCAUAAUUGGCAGAGGAGGUUUUGGUUCCGUUUAUGGAGCAAGACUUGAAGAUGGGAUGAAGAUUGCAAUAAAAGUGUUUCACCAGCAAUGUGCAAGCGCAUUGAAGAGUUUUGAGGCUGAAUGUGAAGUGUUAAAAAAUAUUCGCCAUCGAAACCUUAUCAAAGUUAUCAGCAGUUGCUCGAACGAUGACUUCAAAGCAUUAGUCCUAGAAUACAUGUCCAACGGGAGCUUGGGGGAUUGGUUGCAUUCGAGCAAUUACGUGCUGAAUAUUUUUCGAAGGUUGAACAUAAUGAUUGACUUUGCAUCAGCUUUAGAAUAUCUCCACUUCGAUCAUUCAACUCCUGUUAUUCAUUGUGACUUAAAGCCUAGUAAUGUAUUGUUGGACGAAAAUAUGGUUGCUCAUUUGAGUGAUUUUGGCAUAGCAAAGCUUUUAAGUGGAGAAGAUGAGUCUACGAUGCGAACAAAAACCCUUGCCACUAUAGGUUAUAUGGCACCAGGUUUGCUUCAAACAACUUUUUUUGUUGGUGCAUGUACCCUCCCUUUAAAAAAUAUAUAAUAAUUAAUACUUAAUAUAUUAUUAAAUACGAAAAUAUCAAUAUUUGACUACACAAAUUUAUGUCAUUAGGUCCUUAAAAUUUAAAAUUGAAGACACAAAAUGAAAUAUAUAUAUAAAUUUCAUUCUCAUAGGAAAUGAUCCUCUUAUAAUCUUAAAAUAUUUGAGCUUUGAAAGAUUUUUUAAAACAAAUGUACUUUUAUUUUUGUACAAUCAAUAUUUACUUAUUUAUUAUAUUUUUAUUCAUUAACUAUCAAUCAUGUGAGUAUAUUUACUCAGAAAUAUCAUAUCAAGGAAGAAUCUUGAUCCCACGCACACGCAAAUAUGUUAAUUUCUAUACGCUUCACUUACCUGUAGAAUCAAUUAUCUAAAAUGCAAGUUUGUGGCCACAAAAAAGGCCAAAGAAAGAAGAUAAUAACAAUUGACUUGUAUAUUAUACUCAUACAAUCCACUCGACAUAAUGAUAUCAUUUUAAUAAGGCAAUGGCUGAUGAUCUCCAUGACUCCAUUGAAAAACUAAUUCAAUUUUUUUUGCUUCAUUUAACUUUUUGGUUGUUGAAAAUAACCUUAAUUAUCAAAUAAUUGGAGAAAGAGUAAAGAACAUUUAAAAAAUUUAUGAGCAAAAAAAAAAGGAGAAGUUGAAGAGAAAGGGUGCUUGCAGAAGUGGGUGUCAAAGAAAAAUCAGUCCAUAAGAAUUAUUGCGGUUAUUUUUUGGCAAUAUAAAUUUUUUAUAGCAAGUAAAAAUUAAUUUUUUUCCGAUUUACUAAAAAAUUAACUAAAAACUUCUGCGACAACAUUUUUUAUGGGUGCAUAUAGCCUCCCUUUAAAAAAAUAAUAAUAAUUAAUGCUUAAUAUAGUAUUAAAUACGAAAAUGUCAAUAUUUGAUUACUCAAAUUUAUAUCAUUAGGUCCUUAAAAUUUAAAAUUAAAGAUACGAAAGGAAAUAUAUAUAAAUUUCAUUCUCAUGGAAAGGAUUCUCUUAUAAUUUUAUAAUAUUUGAGUUUUGAAAUUUUUUUGAAACAAAUGUAAUUUUAUUUGUGUACAAUCAAUAUUUACUCAUUUAUUAUAUUUUAAUUUAUUUAUUAUAUUUAGUCGGAAAAAUUAUAUCAAGAGAGAAUCCUAAUUUCACGCAAACACAAAUACAAGACAAAUAUGUUAAUUUCUAUACUAUUCACUUUCCUGUAGAAUCAAUUAUCUAAAAUGCAAGUUUGUGGCUACAGAAAACUCGCCAAAGAAAGAAGAUAAUAACAAUUGAGCAUUGAUAGCAAAACUAAUGCAUCAUUUUCUUCUUGACUUGAUGAGAUGGCGCCAUCACAAAAAAACAAGUACCUUAAUUGACGGGCACUGAGUGAUGUGAAUACUACCAGCCAGUUCAUCUCUUCCAGUCUUGCUUAAUCACAAUCACAAACACCUCGAGAUCGACAUUUGCAUUAUAUAUAUGUUCAGCAAUCGAAACACCUUGCAUUACCAAAUAAACCAGUAACAAACAAAGCAAUCUUUCAUGGAGAGAAACUUUAGUCUCAGUAUGAUCACUGUGUCAUUAACCCACUGCCUGCUUCUUUGCUUGGUUGUUGCAGCAGCAGCAGCAGCAGCAGCAAGCAACAAUAUUACCACAGACCAACAAGCUCUUCUUGCCCUGAAAGAUCAUAUAAUUUAUGAUCCGACCAACCUUUUAGCCCAUAAUUGGACCUCGAAUACCUCUGUUUGUACCUGGAUUGGCAUCACUUGUGAUGUCAAUAGCCAUAGAGUCACAGCCUUAGAUAUUUCUCAAUUCAAUCUACAAGGCACCAUCCCUCCUCAACUUGGAAACCUCUCUUCACUCACAACACUUAAUCUUAGUCAUAACAAGCUUUCUGGAAGCGUUCCCUCCUCCAUCUACACCAUGCAUAGGCUAAAAUUUCUUGACUUCACUGAUAACCAGCUCUCUGGUUCGGUGUCUUCCUUCGUCUUCAACAUGUCUUCAAUAUUAGACAUUCGUUUGACCAAUAACAGACUUUCUGGUGAGCUUCCGAAAAAUAUUUGCAACUAUCUUCCUCAUUUGAAAGCCCUUUUUUUGGACAAAAACAUGUUUCAUAGCAAAAUUCCUUCUGCUUUAUCAAAGUGCAAACAACUGCAACAAUUAAAUUUGCAGUUCAAUAAUUUAUCCGGUGCAAUACCAAAAGAAAUCGGCAACUUGACUAGGCUCAAAGGGAUAUAUCUCGGCGCCAACAAACUCCACGGUAUGUUCAUAAUACUAUGUAAAUAUUUUAAUUUCUCACUUGUUAUUUUUCUUGAAUACUUUAGAUAAGAUCAUGUAACGGAGAUUUUUUUGCAUCUAUGUUAAUUUGCCAGGUGAGAUACCGCACGAAAUCGCUAAUCUUCGAAAUCUAGGGGAUUUAGUGCUUGGAAUGAACAACCUAGUUGGUGUGUUACCAGCUCCAAUCUUCAACAUGUCAACACUGAAGGUACUUAUCCUCAUAAACAACUCUCUCAGCGGAAGUCUUCCAUCAAGAAUAGACCUUUCACUUCCAACGGUUGAGGUUCUUAUCUUGUCACUUAAUAGAUUUUCUGGAACCAUUCCUAGUUCCAUCACCAAUGCUUCUAAGCUCGCCUUGCUAGAAUUGGGAGUAAACACAUUUUCGGGAUUUAUUCCAAACACAAUUGGUAAUUUAAGAAACCUUGAGUGGCUCGGCUUGGGUAAUAACUACUUGACAUCUUCAACCUCAAAAUUGAGCUUUCUUUCCUCUUUGGCAAAUUGCAAGAAAUUAAGAGACAUAGGCUUAACAGGCAAUCCACUCAACGGUAUCCUUCCAAGUUCAAUAGGUAAUCUUUCCAUGUCUUUGAAAACACUUUACAUCGGCAAUUGCAGUAUUAGUGGCAACAUUCCUCAAUCAAUUGGCAAUUUAAGCAACUUAUUGGCCUUAGUAUUAGAAGUCAAUAAAUUGACUGGACCUAUCCCAACUACAUUCGGCCGACUGCAGAAACUCCAAGGCUUAUAUCUUGCAUUCAAUAAGUUGGUAGGUUCAUUCCCAGAUGAGCUUUGCCAUCUAGCAAGGCUGGAUCAAUUGGUCUUAUUUGGCAAUAAGCUUUCAGGAUCUAUACCUUCAUGCUUAAGUAAUCUCACUUCUCUGAGAUCUCUCUACUUAGGGUCCAAUAGGUUUACUUCUGUCAUUCCCUCAACUUUCUGGAGCCUAAAAGACAUCUUGUUCUUUGACUUUUCAUCAAAUUUCUUGGUGGGUCCUCUUUCUUCAGACAUAGGUAAUUUGAAGGUGCUUCUAGGAAUAAAUUUAUCAGAAAAUAACUUAUCGGGUGAUAUGCCAGCCACAAUUGGAGGACUAAAAAACCUUCAAAUUAUGGACCUAGCAUAUAAUAGAUUGGAAGGCCCAAUUCCUGAAUCAUUUGGUGACUUGACAAGUUUGGAGGUUUUGAAUUUGUCAAAUAAUAAAAUCUCCGGGUCUAUUCCAAAAUCCUUGGGGAAACUCUUUUACCUCCGAGAGUUAAAUCUCUCUUUCAAUGAACUAGAAGGUGAGAUUCCUAGUGGAGGAAUUUUUGCCAACUUCACAGCUGAGUCAUUUAUGGGAAAUGAGUUAUUGUGUGGUUUACCAAAUCUUCAAGUCCAACCAUGCAAAGUUAGCAAGCCGAGGACAGAACAUAAAUCAAGGAAAAAGAUACUUCUCAUUGUGAUUGUUUUGCCAUUGAGUAUUGCUCUAACGAUAGCAAUCACUCUAGCUCUCCAAUCUAAGCUGAUCGAAUGUGGAAAAAGAAGCACGGUGUUAUCAAAUGAUAGUAUCUUGUCAUCACAAGCAACACUAAGAAGAUUUUCAUACUUAGAACUUUUACGAGCAACAGAUAAUUUUGCUGAAAACAGCAUAAUUGGCAGAGGAGGUUUUGGUUCCGUUUAUGGAGCAAGACUUGAAGAUGGGAUGAAGAUUGCAAUAAAAGUGUUUCACCAGCAAUGUGCAAGCGCAUUGAAGAGUUUUGAGGCUGAAUGUGAAGUGUUAAAAAAUAUUCGCCAUCGAAACCUUAUCAAAGUUAUCAGCAGUUGCUCGAACGAUGACUUCAAAGCAUUAGUCCUAGAAUACAUGUCCAACGGGAGCUUAGGGGAUUGGCUGCAUUCGAGCAAUUACGUGCUGAAUAUUUUUCAAAGGUUGAACAUAAUGAUUGACGUUGCAUCAGCUUUAGAAUAUCUCCACUUUGAUCAUUCAACUCCUAUUAUUCAUUGUGACUUAAAGCCUAGUAAUGUAUUGUUGGAUGAAAAUAUGGUUGCUCAUUUGAGUGAUUUUGGCAUAGCAAAGCUUUUAAGUGGAGAGGAUGAGUCUACGAUGCGAACAAAAACCCUUGCCACUAUAGGUUAUAUGGCACCAGGUUUGCUUCAAACAACUUUUUUUUAAAGUUCAUUUUAAAUUUUCCAACUUAUUGAUUUUUACAAUCCUCAUAUCAAAAUGUUAUUGAUUAUUUAUCUAAUUGUGAAAUUAAUUUGAUUAAUAGAGUACGGCAUUGAAGGAGAAGUAUCUACAAAAAGUGAUGUUUACAGCUAUGGGAUUAUGUUGAUGGAAACUUUUACCAAGAAAAAACCCACAGAUGAAAUUUUUGUUGGGGAAUUGAGCUUAAAGCGUUGGGUUAAUGACUUGCUUCCUACUUCAUUAGUGGAAGUUGUGGACAAAACUCUGCUAAGUGGAGAGGAAAAACAUUCUGCAGCAAAGGAGCAAUGUCUGUUGUCUAUCUUUAGUUUGGCUCUGGAGUGUACAAUGGAAUCACCGGAAAAGAGGAUUAAUGCAAAAGAUAUUGUUACUAGAUUACUCAAGAUAAGAGACACAUUGAGUAAAAGGAUCGGAAAUUUAAGUUAAUUUCGUUUGCUUUCAUUGAUAGUUAAUCUGAAUUCAUGUAAUAAGUGUAGGAAUCUUAUAUCUUUUCCUUUCAUAUAUUUUUUUUUCUUGAGAAAACUGUUGUAGUCAUCUUGUUUCCAUGGACAGAGUUGAUUUAGUUCUUCCAAAAAAUGCUACUGAUGACCUUUGUUUAAUACUUUCUCUUUUUUUGCAUGUGUUUAGGUAGAACAGUGGUUUGGCUGCAGGCUAAGAAGUCUAACUACACUAAAAGAAUAUGAUUUAAUUUAUUAAACAAAACUUCAAGUUCAAGAAAAGUAUUUCACUGCCCCCAAUGCUUUGGACACCUACUUGUUGCGGACCGCCCAAUUCGCUAGCCCAAUUGCCCACAAUUUCGGGCUAGAGAGCCAACACAAGGCCAAGAGUGCUAGCUUGGCCCAAUUCCGAAAGGUUCUAGGCAACUCUAGCACAUGUGAACAUGUAAAUAUUCUAGAAUACUUUAUACAAUUCCAGCACAUGCAAAUAGCUAGGAAAUUGUAAAAUACUCUAGAGUUUGACCAAGUUUGGCAAAGUUAGGCAAAGUUAGGCAAAGCCUCCCCUAUAAAUAUGGGAUGGCAUUAGGCAUUUGUAUCCAAAAAGCUUUGUAAGCAACUUAAGCAUUGUAUUCUCUCUUUGUGCAAUACAAGUUUUCUUCUUUGGCUCAAUUGCUCUCUUCUCUAGUUCGAGAAGCUCUAGGCUUACUUAGCAACAUUCGGCAAAGUUGUCUAAGUGCCGCACGGGUUAGCUGCGCAAAACACUCAUCUCGUGACAAGUGGUAUCAGAGCUAAGGUUUGCACGCACGCAAAUUAGCUCACGAAGCAAUGGCCAACCCUUCGAACGUAGCACAAGAGGGUGUUGUUGGUGUGGAUGUUCCACCGGAACUAAGCCGUGGCCGAGAGGGAGAACGUGCCCAAGGCAAGACUCGCGGCAAGUCCAAGGCCCUAUCCGUGGAUGCGUUGGAGCCUCGUGUAGGCACUCUCGAAAUCGCAUUGUCCACCGCUCAAGAAAGCCUCGAGGGAUUGGAGGAACGAGUGGACGGACUCGAGGGAGAAUACGCCGAAUUCACGGUGGCAACCAAAGCUCUCAUCCAAGAACAAGCAAACACUCUUCGAGGUGAGUGUUCAAGACGAACUACGCGCUGUCCGUGCGGAAGUGGAUGAAGUCCGCUCGGAUUGGGCAUGGCACAAGCGCACACUCUCCUCAAGUCCAGCUUCCGCAAACUCGAGUGAUGCGCGCCGCAUUGACGUGCCAAAGCCCGACACCUACGAUGGCACACGCAAUGCCACAAUCGUGGAUAAUUUCCUCUUUGGUCUGGAUCAAUACUUUAAUGCCAUGGGUGUACGAGAUGAGGCAUCGAAAGUGGGCACUGCACCCACCUAUCUUAGAGGCGCUGCACAACUAUGGUGGCGUCGCAAACAUGGCGAGAUGGGCAAGGGCAUUUGCACCAUCGACAUUUGGUCCGACUUCAAGCAAGAACUCCGAAAGCAGUUCGCCCCAAGCAAUGCGGAGAAGGAAGCGCGAGCGCGCUUACGUCGCCUCAAGCAAUCGGGUAGCAUUCGGGACUACAUCAACGAGUUCACUACCCUUAUGUUGGAGAUAAGCGACAUGUCCAACAAGGAUUCACUCUUCUACUUCCAAGAUGGCCUCAAGGAUUGGGCCAAAACCGAGCUUGAUAGGCGUGGUGUUCAAACACUUGACGACGCCAUCGCCAUUGCGGAAUCGCUCACCGAAUACUCUACCCAAUCCAAAGACAAGAAGUCUAGCCAAGGCAAAGGUGGGGGAGAGAGUCGUAAGGACAAGGGCAACAACCGCAAAGAUUGGGGGCAGAAAAAGCCGCCUAGCAACAAGAGCUGGCAGGGAAAAUCGGAGGGCAAGAAGGAGGCGCCAAAGCCACGAAGCCCAUGCUUCAUAUGCAAUGGUCCUCAUUGGGUACGCGACUGUCCGGAGAAGCGGUCGCUUAAUAUUCUUGCUGCCCAACUCAAGAGCAACCCCACAAUGUCCGUGGAGGAACCCCAACUUAGCAUGGGUUCUCUCCAACGCCUCGGCGCCCUCAACCGCCAACAGCCCGCGCUAGUCAAGAAAGGGCUCAUGUAUGUUAGCGCAAAGGUAAACAGCCAGUCCGUUCGCGCGUUGCUAGACACGGGAGCAACACACAAUUUCGUGUCCGUAGAUGAGGCCAAGCGUUUAGGCCUCAAGGCCACCAAGGAAUGAGGCACAAUGAAGGCAGUAAACUCACCCGCCAAGCCAAUUGCGGGAAUUGCACAAGGCGUACACAUCACACUUGGUACGUGGAGCGGAAAGCUUGACUUCUCCAUCCUGCCCAUGGACGACUUCAAGAUGGUCCUGGGCAUGGAAUUCUUCGACCAAGUCUAUGCCUUCCCGCUGCCUACUACGAACUCCCUAAGCAUCCUCGAUGGGAGUAAAGCAUGCAUGGUACCCACGGAGCGAGGCAAGUCCGAGGAGAAGACACUCUCCACCAUGCAAUUCAAAAGGGCUUUCAAGAAGGACCCAAGCUUCUUGGUCUCCAUUCGGGAACUAAAUGAGGAAAGAAAUAGCGGAACGUCGCCAAGCCAAGUCCCUCCGCAAAUAUACAGAGUCCUCAAUGAGUACGAGGAUGUGAUGCCUCCAGAACUUCCGAAGAAGCUCCCACCUCGACGAGAGGUAGAUCAUGCGAUCGAGCUAGAACAAGGCGCGAAGCCAACAGCCUUGGCGCCCUACCGUAUGGCGCCAUCUGAAUUAGAGGAGUUGCGGAGACAACUCAAAGACUUGCUGGACGCAGGCUACAUUCGCCCCUCAAAGGCCCCAUUCAGUGCACCCGUGCUCUUCCAAAAGAAAAAGGAUGGAUCGCUGCGGAUGUGCAUCGACUAUAGAGCGCUCAACAAGAUCACUAUCAAGAACAAGUAUCUGAUUCCCGUGAUUGCGGACUUGUUCGACCAGCUUGGCAAAGCGCGGUACUUCACCAAACUUGACUUGCGCUCCGGGUAUUAUCAAGUGCGCAUCGCCAAGGGAGAUGAACCGAAGACAGCGUGCACAACAAGGUACGGGUCUUUCGAAUUCCUUGUGAUGCCUUUUGGUCUUACUAAUGCACCCGCCACAUUUUGCACGCUCAUGAACAAGGUGCUCCAACCAUUCCUCGACUGCUUCGUGGUCGUGUACUUGGAUGACAUAGUGGUGUAUAGCACCACGCUCGAGGAUCAUGCCCGACAUUUGCGACAAGUCCUCCAAGUACUUCGAGACAACGAGCUCUUCCUCAAACUAGAGAAGUGCUCGUUUGCCCAACAAGAAGUGGAGUUCCUUGGCCAUAAGAUUGCGGGUGGGAAGAUCAUGAUGGAGAAUGACAAAGUAAAGGUCAUCCUCGAUUGGGAGCCUCCCUCGAAAGUACCCGAACUUCGCUCAUUCCUUGGACUGGUGAAUUACUACCGCCGCUUCAUCAAGGGCUAUUCAGCUAAGGCGGCACCCUUGACGAAUAUGCUCAAGAAAAACAGAACAUGGCAUUGGUCCGAAGAGUGCCAACGCGCAUUCGAGGAGUUGAAAAGAACAAUUUCGGAGGAACCCGUCCUCGCUCUUCCGGACCACACAAAGCCCUUCGAAGUGCAAACGGAUGCCUCGGAUUUCGCCAUAGGAGGAGUCCUUAUGCAAGAAGGCCACCCUAUAGCGUUCGAGAGUCGAAAGCUAAAUGAUACAGAACGCCGCUACACGGUGCAAGAAAAGGAGAUGACCGCAAUCAUACAUUGCUUGCGGGUGUGGCGACAUUACUUGCUUGGCUCGUACUUCACGAUUAUGACGGAUAACGUGGCGACAAGCUACUUUCAAACUCAGAAGAAGUUGAGUCCGAAGCAAGCACGGUGGCAAGAUUUCCUUGCGGAAUUCGACUACCGGCUGGAGUACAAACCGGGGAAAGCCAAUGUCGUUGUGAACGCUCUAAGCCGCAAGGCCGAAUUGGCGACACUUAGCAUGAGCCAACCAAAGUCUGACCUUGUCUCACGCAUCAAGGAAGGCCUCCAACAAGAUCCGCUAGCCAAGGAUUUGCUGGAGAAGGUGCUCGAGGGAAAGACAAGACGAUUUUGGCAAGAGGAAGGCAUCCUCCUCACCAAGGGAGAUCGGCUAUUCGUGCCAAGGUGGGGAAACUUGCGGAAGGAAGUAAUCAAGGAGUGCCACGACUCUAAGUGGGCCGGUCACCCAGGAAUCGAGCGCACCACCGCACUAGUUCAAGCCUCGUAUUUUUGGCCGCACAUGAGGGACGACAUCGAGGCAUAUGUGCGAACUUGUCUUGUGUGCCAACAAGACAAAGUGGAUCAUCAACUUCCAGCGGGAUUGUUGGAGCCGUUACCACUAGCAACAAGGCCAUGGGAAAGUGUCUCCAUGGAUUUCAUCACAUCGCUGCCCAAGUCCGAAGGUUGUGGAAGCAUCAUGGUCGUUGUCGACCGAUACAGCAAAUAUGCCACAUUCAUUGCCGCACCAGCCGAUUGCAAAGCGGACGAGGCAGCCCGCCUAUUCGUCAAGCACAUUGUGAAGCUUUGGGGAGUUCCGAAGAGCAUUGUGAGCGACCGAGACCCUCGAUUCACUGGACGCUUUUGGACGGAACUCUUCAAAAUGUUGGGGACCGAUCUCAAGUUCUCGACAAGCUUCCACCCACAAACGGAUGGGCAGACCGAGCGCAUUAAUGGCCUCCUCGAGAUGUACCUGAGGCAUUAUGUGAGCGCUCACCAGCGGGAUUGGGCGAAGCUACUCGACAUUGCCCAAUUUUCUUAUAACUUGCAGCGAAGUGAGGCUACGGGCAAGAGUCCAUUCGAGAUCAUCAUGGGAUUUCAGCCCAUGACCCCCAAUGCCAUAGCCUCGACUUACGGAGGGAAAAGCCCCGCGGCACACAAGCUCGCCCGCGAAUGGCAUGAGGAAGCGGACAUCACGCGAGCCUAUCUCGACAAAGCCGCGAGGAAAAUGAAGAAAUGGGCUGAUACAAGGAGACGGCAUGUUGAGUACAAGGAAGGAGAUCAAGUCAUGAUCAAGCUCCUACCCCAACAAUUCAAGACUUUGCGGAAAGUUCACAAGGGGUUAGUGAGGUGCUACGAGGGAUCCUUCCGAGUUGUUCGACGUGUAGGCAACGUCUCGUAUCAACUCCAACUUCCGCCAAGACUCAAGAUCCAUCCGGUCUUCCAUGUGAGCCUUCUCAAGCCAUAUCAUGAAGACAUGGGAGAACCAAGUCGCGGAGAAUUGAGGCGCGCGCCAACUGCCGUUGUCACCGCGUUCGACAAAGAUGUGGACUACAUCAUUGCGGACCGAACGGUUUCGAGGAGGGGCGUGCCAGCACAUAGCGAGUACUUGGUGAAAUGGAAAAACCUCCCCGAGAGCGAAGCCACUUGGGAACGGGAAGAUGAUUUGUGGCAAUUCGCUGAGCACAUCCAGCACUUCAAGCACGAGAGCGCGACGAGGACGCCGCGAGCUUAGGUGGGGGAGGAUGUUGCGGACCGCCCAAUUCGCUAGCCCAAUUGCCCACAAUUUCGGGCUAGAGAGCCAACACAAGGCCAAGAGUGCUAGCUUGGCCCAAUUCUGGAAGGUUCUAGGCAACUCUAGCACAUGUGAACAUGUAAAUAUUCUAGAAUACUUUAUACAAUUCCAGCACAUGCAAAUAGCUAGGAAAUUGUAAAAUACUCUAGAGUUUGACCAAGUUUGGCAAAGUUAGGCAAAGUUAGGCAAAGUUAGGCAAAGCCUCCCCUAUAAAUAUGGGAUGGCAUUAGGCAUUUGUAUCCAACAAGCUUUGUAAGCAACUCAAGCAUUGUAUUCUCUCUUUGUGCAAUACAAGUUUUCUUCUUUGGCUCAAUUGCUCUCUUCUCUAGUUCGAGAAGCUCUAGGCUUACUUAGCAACAUUCGGCAAAGUUGUCUAAGUGCCGCACGGGUUAGCUGCGCAAAACACUCAUCCCGUGACAUACUGGUAGGUAUGUACGUGUCCUCAACUUUUUUUCGGAGCACAAAAUUCGAGUCCCAUGGAGACUCAAACAUUCCUUUCCCACAUCCCGAGCACGCUAAAUUCAUCAGACUAACAACUGUGACAUAUACAAGAGUGAAAUGUUUAGAGAACGCUAAGUACUAUGAAAGAGAUUAGUUUACGAAAACUGAAGCCAAGGGUUCAUAAAAAAGUGCAAAGAGAAUAAAGGACAACGCUUAUGUAAAGCGACAUAGUUGUAUUCAUAGCACAAUGUCAUAUUCAUACAGAGAUCUAGAAUAUUAUUUACAGCUGGUAAGGGCUAAGAAUUGAUGUAGCUAGAAUACAAAGACGAUAAGGUAUGUUGUGCACUAUUGUUUUAUUCUACGAUCAAUCUUGACCCUUGAUGCUUGGCUCUCAAUCUUGUCCAUUGAUCUUCUUUGAUUUUGGACACUUCAAGACCUUUCAGUAUCAUUCCUUGUUAUUGGUGUCUUCCGUGCUGUAGAAUUCAUAUACAAGCCUUCCCGCCGACUUGCCAAUUAUUUGUUCAUUGGUGCGUUUUGUCAAGCAGUGUGGAUACUUAUACCAAACGCUUUCUGUUUUAACUCCCCCUUUCAAGCUCAACUAUCUGGGAAGACACUAAUAAGCUUGUUUCUCAAGUAUAUGUAUGUGAAAAUUAAAAUUUCAAAAUAAUAUUCGGACUCUACAUUUUCUAAUGAACAUUGGUUUGGCUCAUAAGCUUAUUAUACUUGGGCUUGGUAGGAUUAUCGGUCGGUAGAUGAACAAGUGUUAGAGCUUUCGAAUUUAUGCCAAUUAAAAAAAAAAAAAUCUAUAUAAAUUUUCCACUAGGCUAUUACCACAAUAAACAUUUGGAUGAACUAUUAUUGAAACCUUAUUGAGAAGUAGGACAUGUCGCAUACCAAUGCACUGACAUAUCUUCAAAUAGUGGUAACUCCACACAACAUGGCACAAUAAAUUAAGAGUUAUAUAGAUAAAAUCUUUCACUCUUUGGUAAUCAUCAAUGUCGGCAUGGCAAUGCGUCCGACAAAAUUCAUAAAUCAAAACAAAAAUAGAGAAUCAUAUUUGUUCCAGAUUGUAGUGAUGGUUGUUGAUGCACUCACAAUUUACAAUUUUAUUUAAUAUCUUCACAUUCGCAUUUUAAAAUGCACAAAUGUUUGUGUAUACAUAAUUAGUAAUCGAUUCUCAAGCAUGGACAUUUAAAAGCACUGCUGAAAGACAAAAUUUUAAUUUACUAUUUUUUGUCUUUUAAUUUUCUUUAAGUUUUAAUGAUUCCGCAUUUUGGCGAAGGAAUUGCAACCGCAUUUGGAGCUAGUUUUAAUUUUGUCUUUUAAUUCUUUUACACUUGGCUUUUGUUAUUGAUGUUAACUUCGAUGUGUGUGCGUGUGCGACUGAAUUCAACUUACACGCUAUUGAUGCAGCCACCAAAAAGGGGUGGUCCAUCAUCAAUCAACAAGGUUUAUUAUUAUUUCCAUAUUGAUUUUCUUAAUUAUAAAUAAUACUAAUGCUAUUUCAUAGUUAUAAAUAUAUUAGAAUUAAUCGAAAUCAUUUUUUAGUGUGGCAUGGCUAAAACUACCUUUUUUUUUUAUAAGUAAUUACUACUUUCACAUUAAGAAAAAAUACUCCUAUUUUUAAGGAAAAGUCAAGUACCUGUAGUUGUGAAGACUCGAGCUCACUCCCUUAUGAUAAAUCUUCAUAUUAAUUACGUAAAUAUCCUCUAAAAUUUUAAAUUAACUAUUCAAAAUUCGAUGUUAUACAGGUAUUUCAUUUAUUUGAGUAGGGGUUAGGGGUCAAUUGGAUACAAAUUCAAAAUUAUCCUUACUUGAGAAGGUGAUAAAAAUUGGGGAUUUAGUUUGGAUGUCAUUAGCUACAAAUAUUAAACUCAUACAUUUAAUUCAAAAUUAGAGGGCUGAUAUAUGCGCAUCAUCGUGCACGUUAUAGUGACACUGCGUCACCAUUCCACAACCUCUCCAAUGAAAAAUUGACAUGCUUCUUGUGCGCAUCUAAUCAGAAUCUUGAAAAUUAAUCACAAAAUUGUACUUUUAUUAUAAAAAGAAUAAAGAAACUCCAAGAAAAAAAAAAGACUUACAUAAAUAGAUUGAAAAAUCUAGAUUUCAAGUUGUCUAUAUUAGCUUGAUAUUUUUAUUAAUAGUCAUCCUCCCAAAAAAAUUCCAUCAAAAUAUAUUUUAAUUUUAUGUUAAUUCAUAAACAUGAAAAAAUCAUUUUAGAAUUAAUUAAAACAUAAUUUAUUGUUGCUCAAAAAAGGUAGAACUUAGUGAUCAGAAAAAAAGUAUCUAAAAUAUAUGUUAAAAAAAAUCAUGGUUGGUUAGACUGAUUGAAUUUUUUUUCUUUUUUAAGAAUUAAGACAAUUGGAUGGAUUCAGUAAUAAUAAUACAUAUUUAUUUGGCAAAUGGCAGGGAGGCUUUCGUCUGAUGCAGAUUGAUUAGAGAGAAAAUAUAACAAUUUUAAGCUCGUCAGAUUCGAAGCUGCUUACCUGUCGUGGGGGGAUCACUUCCGGUGCAUGUUGUCGUGUUAAAUUCUCGUUGACUUCACGUUGACUGAAGCAUUAUUGGAAGAAACAAGUUUAUUGAUGUGAGGCCUUUGAGAUUGUAAGUGUUAAAUCUGAGAAGAAUACCCACACACCCAUUAUCCUAUUACUCUUCUAUCACAUGAAGAGAAUUCAACAUUUGAUUCACACGGAAAAAAAAUUUGUGAGGAUUGUGAGGGUUGAUGGAAUAUAAUUUAGAUACAAAGUGUUUACCAGUGCGAUGCUUCGCAAGUGUUCUUGAAUCAAUAUAAACUCACAUUAUUUUCAUAGCGAUUGUUUCAUCUGCACGUGGAUAUAAUCACAUGUCGAGAUUUUUUUCCUUAAAUUAUGAUCUUAUUUAGUAUUGAGGUGUUAUAUCUUUUAAGGUACAAUUAUUGUUGGAAAAAAGUUGCAACUAUCAAAUAAAAUUAAUACUAUGUGCUAAAUAUAAUUGUUAAAUAAUAAUUUUGACAAAAUUAGUGAAGUUAUAUAGAUUUUUUUUCAUCAUCCAAGUAUAAAAUCAAAUCAACUUAACUUCUAAGUUCUAUAUCGGCUACUGUUUAUCAUAUGUUUUAGUUCUGUAACUUUUAAAUUAUAGUUACCCAACCUCAAUUCUAAACAAGACCUAUAACGAUAAAAAAUUUCCUCAUUAAAUUAUAUGUCUUGUGAUUGCUUAUUUAAUUUAUAUUUUUGUUAUUUAUCUUUAUUAAUUAUAAUCAUCUUUUUAUAAAUUAAAAUUGAAGGAAGUUGAUUGAUGUUGUUGACACACACACACGCACGCACACACUCGCAAAGAUAUAUUGGAAGUGCUUACGUCGACUCGAAGUUGUUGGGAAUUAAUGCAUGUAUUGAUUUAUUGGGAGUGUUUAAAUUGAUUUAUUAAUUGAAUAUUGUUUGAUUGCUUCAUAUCCAUUCUAGAAAGUUUAUUUCUUUGUGAAAUUUCAACGAAAUAUGUUUUUUUUUUUAAAUAAGGGUGUUCUAAAUCAUUUUAAAAAAUAUAUGGACUAAUUAGAAUUAAUUAUUAGGUAAUUAACUCAAUUUGUACAGGGUGAAACAACAUUUAUCCUAAUUAUAUCAUGAUAAAUACUUUUUUGAUUAGAAUUAGGAAAUCAUAGGUUUAUUGAAUUGUUUUUUUUUUCCUUUGCGGAAAUGGAUUAGAGAAUUAGAAAACAAUCAUGUUGAUGUCAAAAUCUGAUCUAGUCGGUUAGCGACUUAAUAUCAUAUUACUGCACCAGCAUUAAAUUUAUUUGGUAGAGAAUUGGCUGGUCAAUUGUCAAGAUGUCCUGCAAUCACUAGCGAUUAACCUACGAAUACCUGAAAUCACAAAAGACGGUAAGAGGCACUAGAAAUUUUUUCGGCGUGAACCUUCUGACGCUCAAGUCAGUUUAUAGGUUUACCAUAAUAAAAAUAAAUAAUUUCUAUUUAAAACAAAAAAUAAAGUUCAAAAGCUCAAAAAUAAAACCCAAUCCCAAUAUGAAAAUGAAUUUCUUUUUUUUUUUUAGCUUGGCCGAAUCCUUCUGCCUCCUAAAGAAACAUAAUAGAGAAGCAGGUAGCCAUGUUCCCUAGGUAACGCCCCACUCCCCUCUUUUAUUCCUCCCCCUCUCUUCCGUUUCCUUCUUUUGCUCACUAUCCUUUAUAAUUUUUUAUGCUUGUCUUCCCAAAAUAGCCUUUGAAUACACAAGUAAAUGUCUAGGCUUUGGUGAGGAUAGUUUGGUCAUUGCAUUUUACAAGUAAGAUGAGUGGUGGAGAAAAAUGAGGAGUGCACAUAACUCUUCAGCAAAUCCCACCAACAAUUCCAUUUUCUUAAUUAAUUAAUCUCCUUUUUUAUCCCCAAACAAAUCCUAAUGAUACUCUUAUCAGGUUUAAAACAGUACACAAAUAGUGAAAAGCUAACUAGUCUGUAGAGUAAUUUGCUAAUUGCUAUCUCCUCUCUACGCGCGCUGAAUAAUUUGUUGCAUGCAAACUUUUUAUUUUAUGCAAAUCGUACGUACUGUAACAUUGGAAUUGAUGGAUAAGCAAAAAUACAAUAAUAUUUAUGCCAAUAAAAAUAGUUUUUUUUCCUUUUUAAAUAAACACAACGCGAUGUUGCUCUGCUCUACAUUUUUGCUAUCUCUUUAUUCUUUUUUUUUUUUUGGGCUUCUUAAAGCCUCAAACUUUGACAACCAAAACUUCAUCGACCUAUGAAAAAAUCUGCAGAUUAGUUUUUAUUAUCGGAAUAAUUGUUUGAGAAUACUAAAACAAAAUAUAAAAUAAGAAAAUAGGGGGUUAAAUUAGAGGGGGAAAAAAGCCAUGUUCUAUCGAUUACUAUAGUUUAAGAAAACAAAAUCCAAUUGGGAAUUUUUUUCUUUAAUUUUUGUUUUACUUGAUUGAGAUUUCUCCUUAGUCCUUACAGUUUUAAGUUUGGAUGCCGUAGGGUUAGUAAUUUAGUACUUCCUUUGCAAGCUGAGGGCAAGAAUGAAAAUCUUUAAAGAAAUUAAAAAAGAUUAAAAAAAAGCAUACCAAUAGGUAAUUAUAAAUAACCAUAAAUAAACAUAAACAAAAUAUUUAUGAAGUAAAUUACACAUGCACAUAUUAUUUUUUUGUUUUAUUUCUUACUUGUCUAUUUUAUUUGUCUAUUUUAUUUGCUGCUUGAUAACCCGUAAAUACUAAUCUAGUACUGCUAAUUUCAGACACAAAAUUUUUAACUCUAGGCUGCAGUUUUGCUCAAAAUGAUGACCACUGGCUUCGCACCAUUUAACCGGCAUACAUUUCUACAAAUUGAACAAGGCUAUUGAUUUUCAUUAUUAUUUUUUAUUUAUUUAUAAAUUACUAUUUUAAUUUUCACUUUUUAUUGGGUUGUUUACAAUUUUAUUUUAUAAUUUCAAAUUUGUAUUUUAAAAUGCAGGUACAUUAUGUAUACAUAAUUAUUGAUUUUCAUAUGUGGGUGUUUUGAAAUAUUGCUAAAAGACCAAACUUAAUAAACUAUUUUUCAUCUUUUUUUCCCUUUUUUCCUAAAGGUUGAGUGAUAUCCGCAUUUUAAAUUCAUGUGGAACAAAAGCUAAUGAAUGCACAAAAUUAUUUUAUUUUUUCCGAGAAAAAUGGGUAAGAGAAGAAGAUUUUUCUCUUGAAAAAGAAAAACUAAUACGAUGCAAACAUAGGAAAGAGGUCAGUGUUUUGGAUUAGAAUUUAUUAUUGACCUGAAUUUUAUACUAAACUCUUUUAUAGUACUGCGAUUAAUGAACUCAUGAUUUGCUUUUGCUUUUACUUCAAGUGAAAGAAAGAGGAAACCUUUUGUUUUUUGUUUGAUUCUUGACUAUAGAUGUUACCUAUAUAGAGAGUUGAGGUAGCUGCCUUAAGUGAUGGUGAUAAAAAGAUUAAGCAGCGCACAAAAUCUGACUGUCGUCCAGACCAUCCAGCUGUGAUGGCUCUAGUUUUUUGGUUACAUUAGCUUUAGUGGAAAGGAGGGCCAAUUUAACAAAGACUAGAUUUGGUGGCUUACUAUAAUGCUUAUUCUCAAGGAAUCUAAUGUUAUAAGAUGAUUUAAUGAUCUUCUAUGAUUGUGAGUAGUAUAGUAUAAUUGAAAAGAGCCUGGGCUCCUAUGAUGAAUAUUUAAUAGUAACACAAUAUUGUGAUUGAAAAAAACACUGUUACAAUAAACUCUUCAUUUAUUCAUUGCGGAUAUUGAAUGGCAAACAGAGAAUAAAAUGAAGCAGAGGAAUCUCAUUGCUAGUAAAAUUGACCCUCUUUAAUGUUAUAUGGCACAGGUGUGUGUACAGCAAGAGCAAGUGACUUGCAGUUUUUUUUUGUAAAAUAUACAGGUUAUGACCAUGAUCAUUGUAGUUAGGUUUUGAUGAUUUUAGAUGCUUUUUUAUUUUUUUUAAAUUGUGACACCUUUGAUUUAUGGUAGUUUUGCAGAAGAAAAAAAUAUAUAUAAAAAUUAGGAAGAAUGAGUUAACUAACAAUUGCAAUCAUUACAACAAUGUUGAUGAGUGAUACAUCAUUUGAAAUUUACAUGUCAGUUGCUAAAAUGAUGAAAAAAAACAAUAAACAAUAGCAGUAAUAUUUUUAUGGAAAUUCUUGGUUUUUAUGGAAAUACUCUUGCUGAAAUUCUAAUUUUGACUUUCAACUCUUGGUUUUUAUGGAAAGUAAAAUGACUUGUUUGUUAUAUUCAUACAAUCCACUCUACAUAAUGAUUUCAUUUUUAAUAAAUGCUUGAUGAUCUCCACUGAAAAACUACUUCAAUUCUUUUGUUUUAUUUAACUUUUUGGUUGUUGAAAAUAGCCUUAAUUUUCAAAUAAUUGGAGAAAGAGUAAAGAACAUUUAACAAAUUUAUGUGCCAAAAAUAAAGGAGAAAUUGAAGAGAAAGGGUGCUUGCAGAAGUGGGUGCAAAGAUAAAUCAGUCUAUAAGAAUUAUUGUGGUUAUUAAUUUUUUGGCAAUAUAAAAAUUCUUCAGCAAAUAAAAAUUGAUUUUUUUCCGAUUUACUAAAAAAUUAAUUAAAAAAUUCGGCCACAGCAUUUUUUAUGGGUGCAUAUACCCUCCCUUUAAAAAAAAAUAAUAAUUAAUGCUUAAUAUAGUAUUAAAUACCAAAAUAUCAAUAUUUGGCUACUCAAAUUUAUAUCAUUAGGUCCUUCAAAUUUAAAAUUGAAGAUACAAAAGGAAAUAUAUAUAAAUUUCAUUCUCAUGGAAAGGAUUCUCUUAUAAUCUUAUAAUAUUUGAGUUUUGAAAUUUUUUGAAACAAAUGUAAUUUUAUUUGUGUACAAUCAAUAUUUACUUAUUUAUUAUAUUUUAAUUUGUUAACUAUCAAUCAUUUAAGUAUAUUUGGUCAGAAAAAUUAUAUCAAGAGAGAAUCCUAAUUUCACGCAAACACAAAUACAAGAUAAAUAUGUCAAUUUCUAUACUAUUCACUUUCCUGUAGAAUCAAUUAUCUAAAAUGCAAGUUUGUGGCUACAGAAAACUAAUGCAUCAUUUUCUUCUUGAUUUGAUGAGAUGACGCCAUUACAAAAAAAUAAGUACCUUAAUUGACGGGCACUGAGUGAUGUGAAUACUACCAGCCAGUUCAUCUCUUCCAGUCUUGCUUAAUCACAAUCACAAACACCACGAGAUUGACAUUUGCAUUAUAUAUAUCUUCAGCAAUCGAAACACCUUGCAUUACCAAAUUAACCGGUAACAAACAAAGCAAUCUUUCAUGGAGAGAAACUUUAGUCUCAGUAUGAUCACUGUGUCAUUAACCCACUUCCUGCUUCUUUGCUUGGUUGUUGCAGCAGCAGCAGCCGCAAGCAACAAUAUUACCACAGACCAACAAGCUCUUCUUGCCCUGAAAGAUCAUAUAACUUAUGAUCCAACCAACCUUUUUGCCCAUAAUUGGACCUCGAAUACCUCUGUUUGUACCUGGAUUGGCAUCACUUGUGAUGUCAAUAGCCAUAGAGUCACAGCCUUAGAUAUUUCUCAAUUCAAUCUACAAGGCACCAUCCCUCCUCAACUUGGAAACCUCUCUUCACUUACAACGCUUAAUCUUAGUCAUAACAAGCUUUCUGGAGACGUUCCAUCCUCCAUCUACACCAUGCAUUCGCUAAAAUUUCUUGACUUCACUGAUAACCAGCUCUCUGGUUCAGUGUCUUCCUUCGUCUUCAGCAUGUCUUCAAUAUUAGAAAUUCUUUUGACCAAUAACAGAUUUUCUGGUGAGCUUCCGAAAAAUAUUUGCAACUAUCUUCCUUAUUUGAAAGCCCUUUUCUUAAACAAAAACAUGUUUCAUGGCAAAAUUCCUUCUGCUUUAUCAAAGUGCAAACAACUGCAACAAUUAAAUUUGCAGUUCAAUAAUUUAUCCGGUGCAAUACCGAAAGAAAUCGGCAACUUGACUAUGCUCAAAGGCAUAUAUCUCGAAUACAACAAACUCCACGGUAUGUUCAUAAUACUAUGUAAAUGUUUUAAUUUCUCACUUGUUAUUUUCUUGAAUACUUUAGACAAGAUCUCGUAAGGGAGAUAUUUUUGGAUCUGUGUUAAUUUGCCAGGUGAGAUACCCCACGAAAUCGCUAAUCUUCGAAAUCUAGAGGAUUUAUUGCUUGGAAUGAACAACCUAGUUGGUGUGUUACCAGCUCCAAUCUUCAACAUGUCAACACUGAAAUUAUUUGACCUCAUAAAUAACUCUCUCUCCGGAAGUCUUCCAUCAAGAAUAGACCUUUCACUUCCAACUGUCGAGUUUUUUGGCUUGGCACUGAAUAGAUUUUCUGGAACCAUUCCUAGUUCCAUCACCAAUGCUUCUAAGCUCACCGUUCUAGCGUUGGGAGAGAACACAUUUUCGGGCUUCAUUCCAAACACAAUUGGUAAUUUAAAAAACCUUGAGUGGCUCAGCUUGGAGAAUAAUUACUUGAAAUCUUCAACCUCAAAAUUGAGCUUUCUUUCCUCUUUGGCAAAUUGCAAGAAAUUAAGAUUCUUAAACUUAGCAGGCAAUCCACUUGACGGCUUCCUUCCAAGUUCAAUAGGUAAUCUUUCUGUGUCUUUGGAAACACUUUUCAUCGGCAAUUGCAGUAUUAGUGGCAACAUUCCUCAAGCAAUUAGCAAUUUAAGCAACUUGUUGACCUUAGCAUUAGAAUUCAAUAAAUUGACUGGACCAAUUCCAAUUACAUUUGGCCGACUACAGAAACUCCAAGGCUUAGAUCUUGCAUUCAAUAAGUUGGUAGGUUCAUUCCCAGAUGAGCUUUGCCAUCUAG
rnacentral:lncRNA from 1 species